rnacentral:lncRNA from 1 species
CCUCAGGAUCCUCCUCAGUACCAAGGAGAGAACUACUUUGAUCCAUGGGCAUAGACCAACUUAAGCAAAAGCCUAAGCUUGGGGAGUACGUAUUUCUCACCGACAUUACACUCAUGUUCACACACUCAUUUCAGUUGUCGGUGUUCAUACUUUCCCAUUAUAUCAUCCAUGUUAGUUUAUUUCUUUUUUCUCGCUUUCUUCUUGUGUGUUUGAAAAACUUUGAGAAAAUCCAAACAAAUAGUUCUAGUUUCUUUCUAGUUCAUUUAGUUGUAGCAUUAAAAGAAAACCCAAACAUAUUUCUCGUUUUUAUUUUGCUUGUUGGGAGCUUUCCCGUGUAAAUAAUUUUUCUCGUUCUUGUUUUACUUUCUUUAGAAAAACAAAAACUCCAAAAUAUUUUAGUAUGUUUCUUUGAAAUUCUUUUCUUUGGGUCGUAAGGAGAAGACCAUGAUGAAAAUAUUGAGUGGCUAUCAUAUGCAUUACUGUUGAAUUGACAAAGAGCCCAUAUUACCUUGUCUUCUCUUAUUAAAUGUUGCAGAUUCCAGCUUAGUCCAAUGCAUGUGCACUAUUAUUAUUAUUCACACCGUUCGGUAGUUCAAGUGAAAGGCAAUAAUGACGAUAUAUGAUGAAACGAUUGAGAUGGAGAAAAGCUGGUACGAAGUCGACCUAUUUUGUUUUUGUAAAUAUGAUUAGCUCAUCAUUCUUGAUUCAGCUCAUUAUGAAUGAAACAUGUUUGCAAUGACAAUUAGAGAUUAUAGUUACUCAUGUCAUGCUUAAUUAGCUAGGAGUUUAUAAUGGUUCAUCUUGUGUGCCAACAUGCUUUUAAAAUGGUUAUGAUGUAGUAUGAUAGGAUGGUAUCCUCCUUUGAAUGAUUCAAGUGGCUUGACUUGGCACAUGUUCACGCAUGUAGUUGGGACAAAAUCAACAUAGCCUCCACGAUAUUUAUGUUCAUGGUGAUUUAAUCCUACUCAUGCUUGCACUCAAUGUUUGGUCAAUCUCAUUGCAUGUUUAUGACCGUUGUUGCUCUCUAGUUGGUCGCUCCUCAAUCUUUUGCUAGCCUUCACUUGUACUAAGCGGGAAUACUGCUUGUGCAUCCACUUCCUUAAAUCCAAAGUUGUUCCAUAUGAUCCCACCAUACCUACCUAUAUGCGGUAUUUACCUGUCGUUCCAAGUAAAUUUGCAUGUGCCAAACUCUAAAACUUCAAAUGAAAUUCUUUUUUGUAUGCCUGAAUCGCUCAUGUAGUGACUGGGGGUUGUCAGUAUCUUCCAUGCUAGGUGGGUUAUUCUCAUGAUGUGUGUUGAUUCACUUGUCAUUCAUGAGAAAGUGGCUGGUAAUCUGGAUGCCCAGUUCCAUGCUCUAAAUCAAAUCAAAAUAUAAUUUCAAACAAAACUCCCCCAGGACUGUUGUUGGUAUGGAUGGUACCCAUUGUUUCGGAUCAGCCGUGGAGUGUGAUUGUUGGUGGAGGGGGAGUAAAAACUUUACCAUUCUAUUUGGGAACGCCUAUAAUGUAUCUAGCAUGGAAGACACAGAGAUCUCUUGGUUGUUAUGUUGACAAUGAAAGCAUACCGCUCAAAAUUAUAUUCAUCUAUGUUUUAAAAGCUCGAGCUCUGGCACCUCUGCAAAUCCGUGCUUCCCUUUGCGAAGGGCCUAUCUAUUUACUUUUAUUGUUGAGUCAUCACCCUCUUAUAAAAAGCACCAGUUAGACCACUGUCAUUUGUAUGCAUUGUUGUUAAUUAAUAUUGAGUAUGACUGUGACUGGAUCUCUUUUACCAUGAAUUACAAUGUCUAGUCAGUCCUUGAUCUUUAGGGGUGCUCUGCAUUUAUGUUUUGCAGUCUCAGAAAGGGCUAGCGAGAUACCAUUCUGUUAUAUCAUAUCAUGGUUGUUUUGAAAAAGUGUUGUUAACCGAGAUUUAUUAUUAUUGCUCGCUAGUUGAUUAUGCCAUUCAUAUGAGUAAAUGUGAGACCUAAAUGUUAUUGUGAAUAUGCUUAGUUUAUAUUUUUGCUGAAAACCUGAAUGUUGGCUUUACAUAUUUGCAACAACAAGAUCAAACAGAGUUUGUAAAAGUUUUUCUUUAUCAUGUUCAGUUUGUCAACUGAAUUGCUUGAGGACAAGCAAUGGGUUAAGCUUGUUGGGAGUUGAUACAUCUCCAUCGUAUCUACUUUUCCAAACUCUUUUGCCCUUGUUUUGGACUCUAAUUUGCAUGAUUUGAAUGGAACUAACCCGGACUGACGCUGUUUUCAGCAGAAUUGCCAUGGUGUUACUUUUUGUGCAGAAAUAAAAGUUCUCGGAGUGACCUAAAAAUUCAUGGAGAAUAUUUUUGGAAUAUAUAAAAAUAUUGGCGAAAGAAUCAACCAAAGGGGACCCACCACGUGUACACAAGGGUGGAGGGUACGCCAUUGCCUUGUGGGUCCCCUAGACCUCCUCCGACCCUAACUCCAACUCUAUAUAUUCAUGUUCGGGGAGAAAAAAAAUCAUAGACAAGGUUUCAUCGCGUUUUAUGAUACGGAGCCGCCAUCACCUCCUGUUCUUCAUCGGGAGGGCAAAUCUGGAGUCCGUUUUGGGCUCCGGAGAGGGGAAAUCGUCGUCUUCAUCAUCAUCAACCAUUCUCCAUCACCAGUUUCAUGAUGCUCACCGCCGUGCGUGAGUAAUUCCAUCGUAGGCUUGCUGGACGGUGAUGGGUUGGAUGAGAUUUAUCAUGUAAUCGAGUUAGUUUUGUUAGGGUUUGAUCCCUAGUAUCCACUAUGUUCUGAGAUUGAUGUUGCUAUGACUAUGCUAUGCUUAAUGCUUAUCACUAGGGCCCGAGUGCCUGAUGACCGACAAGUAUAGCGGAUCAAUCGUAGUCCUUUCAAUAAGUAAGAGUGUCGAACCCAACAAGGAGCAGAAGGAAAUGACAAGUAGUUUUCAGCAAGGUAUUCUCUGCAAGCACUGAAAUUAUAAGUAACAAGUAGUUUGAUAGCAAGAUAAUUUGUAACGAGCAAGUAAUGGUAACGGUAAAAAAAUGCAGCAAGGUAGCCCAAUCCCUUUGAGGCAAAGGACAUGCCAAAAUGGUCUCUUAUGAUAAGCAAAGCAUUCUUGAGGGUACACAGGAAUUUCAUCUAGUCGCUUUCAUCAUGUUGGUUUGAUUUGUGUCCGCUACUUUGAUAAUUUGUAUGUGGGUGGACCGGUGCUUAGGUGUUGUCUUACUUGAACAAACCUCCUACUUAUGAUUAACCCCCUCGCAAGCAUCCGCAACUACGAGAAAAGUAUUAAGAUAAAAUCUAACCAUAGCAUUAAACUUUGGGAUCCAAAUCAGCCCCUUACGAAAUAGCGCAUAAACUAGGGUUUACUCUUCUGUCACUCUCGCAACCCAUCAUCUAAUAACUACUCCACAAUGAAUUCCCUUAGGCCCUAAUAAGGUGAAGUAUCAUGUAGUCGAUGUUCACAUGACACCACUAAGGGAAUCACACCAUACAUUCCAUCAAAAUAUGGAACAUAUAUCAAGUUGACAUGAUUACUUGCAACAAGAUUUCUCCCGUGACCUCAAAAACAAAAUUAACUACUCACAAUUGAUAAUCAUGCUCAAGAUCAGAGGGGUAUUAAAUACCAUAAUGGAUCUGAACAUAUAUCUUCCACCAAAUAAACCAUAUAGUAAUCAACUACAAGAUGUAAUCAACACUGCUAGUCACCCACAAGCACAAAGAUUGAACACAAGAGAUGAACUAGGGUUUGAGAGGAGAUGGUGGUGUUGAAGAUGUUGAUGGAGAUUGCCCUCCCCAAGAUGGGAGAGUUGUUGGUGAUGACGAUGACGAUGAUUUCCCCCUCCGGGAGGGAAGUUCCCUCGGCGGAAUCGCUCCAUCGGAGGGCAAAAAUGCUCCUGCCCAAGUUUCGCCUCGAGAUGGCGGCGCUCCGUCCUGAAAGUCCUCUCCUUAUUUUUUCUAGGUCAAAAUGACUUAUACACCAGAAGAUGGGCACUGGAGGUGAGUGCUACCUCUUGAGCACUGCAUUGGUUUUCCCUUGAAGAGGAAAGGGUGAUGCAGCAAAGUAGCGUAAGUAUUUCCCUCUGUUUUUGGGAACCAAGGUAUCAAUCAAGUAGGAGGCUCUGAUAAUCCCCAAGUGCAGGGAAUCAUCGUAGCAAUUCCCAAAGGUGGAAGUGAUAAGUAUGGAGUGUCGAACCCACAAGGAGCUAAAGGUAAGAUCAAUAUUCUCUCGAGUCCUAUUUGCCACUGAUACGACUCUACGUGCACCGGACGUUUGCUUCCAACUAGAAACAAGAAAUAAAACUGUGUUGUGGGUAUAAAGAGGAUAAAUUUUUAUGAUAUCGGAGGGCUAAAAUAUAAAAGUAGGUGCUGUUAUCAUAAAGUUAGAAUAUAUUACUAAAUAAUAUAAAUAGCAGUGUGGAAUAAUGGUGGAUCGGUGUGCGGAAUUGUCCUAGGCAAUUGUUAACAAGACCGGUGAUCACUAUUGCAAUUUCAUAUGAGGGAGAGGCAUAAGCUAACAUACUUUCUCUACUUCGAUCAUAUGCAAUUAUGAUUGGAACUCUAGCAAGCGUCCGCAAAUACUAAAGAUCAUUAAGGUAAAACCCAACCAUAGCAUUAAAGCAUCGAGUCUCCUUUAUUCCCAUACGCAACAACCCCCUUACUCGGGUUUGUGUUUCAAUCACUCACCAACCCACUAUAAGCGAAUCAUAAAUGUAUUGCAACACCCUACAGCGGGAAUCCCUCAUGCUUGCGCGACACGGAUGGCACCAUAAGACAGCAUCAAAGUAAAACAUACAACUCGUACCAAUCUAGAUCAUCAAUCAACCCAAAGACAAAAGAUAUCUACUCAAAACAUCAUAGGAUGACAACACAUCAUUGAAUCAUAAUAUGCAGCAUAAAGCACCAUGUUCAAGUAGGGAGUACAGCGGGGUGCGGGAGAGUGGACCGCGUAAAAGAGAUGAGGAUGGUGAUGUUGAUGAAGACGAUCACCACAGCGAUGAUUCCCCUCCCGAUGGCACUCCGGUGCCACCAAGAGAGAGGAGGAGAGGUUCUCCCCCUUGUGCUUCCUCCUCCAUGGCUUUCCCCCUCUGGUCCUUGGCCUUCAUGGAGAUGAUGGCCCCUCCGAGAUCCUCCUCCAUGGCCUCCGGUGAUGAUGGCCCCCUCCGGCAGGGUGCCAGAGAGGGCCUAGAUUGAUUUCUCGUGGCUAUAUAGGCUUGCGACAGCGGAACUUCCGAUCCCGGUUAAUUCCCGAAGGUUUCUCUAUUUAUAGGAAUUUUUGGCGUUGGUUUCACGUUAGGGGGGGUCUCCGGGCUGUCCACGAGAUAGGGGGCGUGCCCUGGGGGGGGGCACUCUCGUGGGCAUCCCGGGACUCAUCUGGCCCAACUCUGAUGCUCCGUGGUCUUCUUUUGGUCCAUAAAAAAUCGUCAAAAAUUGGCACGUCAAUUGGACUCCGUUUAGUAUUCCUUUUCUGUAAAACUCAAAAACAAGGAGAAAACAGGAACUGGCACUGGGCUCUAAGUUAAUAGGUUAGUCCCAAAAAUCAUAUAAAAUGGCAUAUAAAUGCAUAUAAAACAUCAUAGAUGGAUAAUAUAAUAGCAUGAAUACUUCAUAAAUUGUAGAUACGAUGGAGACGUAUCAGCAUCCCCAAACUUAAUUCCUGCUCGUCCUCGAGUAGGUAAAUGAUAAAAGAAAUAAUUUAUGAAGUGUGAAUGCUAGCAGGUGCACAAGUUUGAUCAAUGAUAAUUUCAAUCACCUUCUCUAGCAUCAUUAUGUGUCAUAAUAGUAGCUUAUCUCAUAAAACUUUUCAUGAUCAAGUAACAAUCUAUUCACAAUGUCAAGUAUGGUUCAGAAACUUCAUUGAGAACUAACAAACUAUAAUCUCAGUCAUUGAAGCAAUUGCAAUUUAUCAUAACAUCAGAAAGAGUCAAGAAUAAAGCUUUUCAGCAAGUCCACCUACUCAACUAUCAUAUAGUCUUCUACAACUGCUAACACUAACGCAAUACUUGUGGUUAUGGAGUUUCAGCCGGACAAUGAGAAAGAUAGGGGCUUAUUGUGUUGCCUCCCAAUGUAUUCACCUUUAGGUGAUGUCAACAAUAAUAGCCCAUGCUAUAUUACAUCCAAUUGGAUAUAUAUAUCAUGAUCUUUCAAACACGAGGGGCUUGCCAAAGGAUAAAAUGAAAAAGGGAAAGGCGAGGAUCACCUUGACUCAAGUAUAAAGUAAAAACAUAAAGUAAAAGAUAGGCCCUUCGCAGAGGGAAGCAGAGGUUGUCAUGCGCGUUUAGGGUUGAUGCACAAAAUCUUAAUGCAAAAGAACGUCACUUUAUAUUGCCCCUUGUAUGUGGACCUUUAUUAUGCAGUCCAUCGCUUUUAUUACUUCCACAACAAGAUCGUACAAAGCUUAUUUUCUCUGCACUAAUAAGUCAUGCAUAUUUAGAGAGCAAUUUUUAUUGCUUGCACCGAUGACAUACUUGAAGGAUCUUACUCAAACCAUAGGUAGGUAUGGUGGACUCUCAUGGCAAAACUGGGUUUACGGGUAUUUGGAAGCACAAGUAGUAUCUCUACUUGGUGCAAGGAAUUUGGCUAGCAUGAGGGAGGAAGGCAAGCUCAACAUGUUUGGAAGGUCAAUGACAAUAUACUUUAACUGAGAUGUCAGAAAACAUAAACCAUUACGUUGUCUUCCUUGUCCAACGUCAACUCUUUUAGCAUGUCAUACUUAAUGAGUGCUUCACAAUCAUAAAAGAUGUCCAAGAUAAUAUAUUUGUAUGUGAACCUCUCUUUCCUUAUUACUUCCUAUUAAUUGCAACGAUGACCAAAACUACGUUUGCCAACUCUCAACAACUUUUAUGCCUCAUACUUUCUAUGUGUGAAGUCAUCACUAACCAUGUUAUAAGCAUAUGAAACAUAUAAAAGUUCAGAUUUAUGACAUUCAAUUCAUUCCCCCAUUUACUCAUAGGAUAUACAUGAAGCACAUGAGUAAAUGGCAAACUACUCCAAAAGAUAUGAGUGAAGGACACUGAGUAGUCAAAUAAUUAACUAGCCAUGGGAGGGUUCCCCUUUUUUUAUUCAAUAAUUCAGAUCCAAUGAUUUUAUUCAAACAGCAAGUAAAACUGAAAAUACGCUCCAAGCAAAACACAUAUCAUGUGACGAAUAAAAAUAUAGCUCCGAGUAAGGUAUACCGAUAGUUCUGAAGACGAAAGAGGGGAUGCCUUCCGGGGCAUCCCCAAGCUUAGGCGCUUGAGUCUUCCUUGAAUAUUACCUUGGGGUGCCUUCGGCAUCCCCAAUCUUAGGGUCUUUCCACUCCUUAUUCUCCUCAUAUCGAUAUCUCACUCAAAACUUGAAAACUUCAAUCACACAAAACUUAAUGGAACUUCGUGAGAUAGGUUAGUAUGAUAAAGAGUAAACCAUGCACUUUGGUACUGUAAAAGACAAGGUUCAUAAUUGUUUUCACAUAAUGCCUACUGUACCAUAUCAUUUCUACAAUUUAUAUUGAGAAAUAUAAGCCAUAGAAACUAGAAAACAAGCAAACUAUGCGAUGAAAACAGAAUCUGUCAGAAACAGAACAGUCUGUAAUGAUCUGAACAAUAACCAUACUUCUGCUACUCCAAAAAUUAUGAAAUAAAUUUGUGGACGUGAGGAAUUUGUCUAUUAAUCUUCUGCAAAAAUAAUCAACUCAAAAGCACUCUUCUGUAAAAAAAUGACAGCUAAUCUCGUGAGCGCAAAGUUUCCGUUUUUUUACAGCAAGAUCACAUUAACUCUCACCCAAGUCUUCCCAAAGGUCUUACUUGGCACUUUAUUGAAAUAAAAGCUAUAAAACAUGAUUACUACAGUAGCUUAAUCAUGUAGACACACAAAAACAGUAAGGGUAAAUAUUGGGUUGUCUUCCAACAAGCGCUUUUCUUUAAUGCCUUUUUAGCUAGGCAUGAUGAUUUCAAUGAUGCUCGCAUAAAAGAUAAGAGUUGAAACAUAAAAAGAGCAUCAUGAAGAAUAUGACUAGCACCUUUAAAUCUAACCCACUUCCUAUGCCUACGGAUUUUGUGAGCACACAAUUUAUAGGAACAAAAGUCAACUAGCAUAGGAAGGCAAAACAAGUAUAACUUCAAAACUUUUAAGCACAUAGGGAGGAAACUUGAUAUUAUUACAACUCCUACAAACGCAUAUUCCUCCCUCAUAGUAAUUUUCAGUAGCAUCAUGGAUAGCUACUUUGUUCUCAUACUCAAUUGGAACCUCUUCCGAAAUAGUGGAAUACUAACUAAAGUUGACACUCUUCCAAAUCCACUUUCAUAAAUAUCGUACGAAGAUUCAACACCCUCCAAGAUAGUGGGAUCACUAAUUCCUAAAGUUGACACUCUUCCAAACCCACUUUAAAUUAUAGUAUUAUUCAUACUACAAAAGAUAUAAGUGAAGUUCCUGGAGCAUUCUACAAUUAAUAUAGACUAGCCAAUAUCCAAGCUCAAAAUAUAUAAGUGCAGCGUACGAAGCAUUCUAUAAAGGGACAAUUCCAUUUCUCCCCCUAACUUGAACCCACACCUGGCAUUUACCCCUAAAUUUUGAGUAUGCUCAAAAAUACCCCUCUUCCGUUAGGUGGUGUUAUAGAAAUACCCCUCGGCGACGUUUUUGUUAGGUCAAAGGGGUUUGACCAUGUGCUUUGUCCAAAAUGCCCCUGGUGGUACUAUUCCACAUUUAGGUAAAGAAAAAAAAACUAAGUCAAAGUUAGACUAGUCAACAGGGACUGGUCAAAUUAGAUUUUGGAGGCCCACAUGUCAUUCUUUCUAUCUUUUUUAUAGUUAGUAAAGGGCCCAUGGGUCAGUGGAACACUUACCUGGAGGGUUAGCCUAAAUAUCUUUUAACAACAGCGGCUAAACGCCGGCGCGUGCGUGAAGGUACAACGGCGACGUACGGCGGAAUGGGAGGAUGCGGAGAGGUCUAUGGGCUUCAAAGUGGCCCUGCGACGCUGCGGGCGUGAAGAUGAACUGGACUGAGGUAGCCCAAGACUGUGGGGUGGCCGGGGGAUGGGCAACGGUGAGCUUGAGCGGCAGCGACGGGCGGCGCUCAUGGAGGGAGGUUUUCGGGGAUGCAGGGAAGCUUGAGGGCUCACCAGGACAUUCGGGAGGUUGUUUUGGAGCUAAGUAACUUGGGGGAAUCCUCCCAGAUUCAUGGGUAGAGGAGAUCGGGCAGCGGCCGCACUCCACCGGAGUUGGGGAAGACGACGAGUGAGCCGUCGAUUUAGGGUGCCUCGGUCUGAUUCAUCCCACUGGAAAACAAAUCGGGAAGUGCUCGAUCUAAUGGGCAUGCUACAGAGGCUUGAGACUGUCGUUGGUCACGCGUGCGUGAGAUGAUGCGGCGACGACAUGAACCGUGUGCGGGUUCCGUCGGGGUGCUGGUUCCGGUGUCUGUCCUCACACCAAAUAGUGGUCAAUCGAUGGAUGAUUACGCGACAUUGAGCGCAACGGGACCACGCCGGCGAGCCUAAUGCUGGCCACCGUCGUCUGUUAUUGGCCGCCGCCGGAGGUGAGCGAGAGAGAGAGACACAGAGAGGUAAGAAAGAAUAUUUUUUUCUUUUUUCUUUUCUUUUUUUGGCGGGUCCACCUGUAAGUGAGAGAGGGGGUGAGAUAGAGAUAUAGAGAGUUUUUUCGUUUUCUUUUUCCUAGGGUAGGUCCCACCUGUAAGUGUCAUACAUGUAGAGGGGUAAAACUGGCAAGAAAAUGUCCCGCAGUCGGUCACAUGCCUUUGAACACACGGAAAUGGUACGGAAUGGUAUUUCUAUAAGAAGCUUUGACGGAAGAGGGGUAUUUUUGAGCAUACUCAAAAUUUAGGGGUAAAUGCCAAGUGUGGGUUCAAGUUAGGGGGAGAAAUGGAAUUGUCCCUUCUAUAAAACCAUACUCAAACGAUUUAAGUGAAGCACAAAGAGCAAUUCUAUAAGAUCAUAUUUAAAACAUAUAAGUGAAGCACAUGAAGUAUUCUAUAAACCAAUGAAGAGCUAUCUCAUACUAGCAUGAUUCUUAAACAAAAACAAAAACACAAAGGGCACAAACAAUGUGAACAAAACAAAAACUGAGGUAUACCGAUAUUUGUUGAAGAAGAAAGAUGGGAUGCCAACCGGGGCAUCCCCAAGCUUAGAUGCUUGAGUAUCCUUUGAAAUAUUCACUUGGGGUGCCUUGGGCAUCCCCAAGCUUAAACUCUUGUCUCUCUUUAUUCUUCUCACAUCGGCAACACCUCGUUCUUCAAACACUUCAUUCACAAAAACUUAAACAAAAACUUGUGAGAUCCGUUAGUGUAAUAAAGCAAACUACCACUUUAAGGUACUAUAAUUAACUCAAACUUUGUUUAUAUUGGUGUUAAACCUACUGCAUUCCAACUUCUCUAUGGUUCAUACCCUACAUACUAGCCAUAGAUGCAUCAAAAUAAGCAAACAACGCGUGAAAAACAGAAUCUGUUAAGAACAGGGCAGUCUGUAGUAAUCUGGAAGUUUAGUAAACUUCUGUAACUCCAAAAAUUAUGAAAUAAAUUUGACAAUUUGAACAAUUUGUACAGAAGUAAUGUGCAAAGAGUUUCAGACCCAUUUGACUUUCCAGUAAAAAAAUGUAAAUGCAUGCACUACAGCCAAAGUUUCUGUUUUUGUUCUGCACAUAGUAAGCAAGCAAUCUUAUCAUACUAAAACCAAAGCUUGGCACAUUAUUUUUAUAAUACAAUGGUUAUAUACAAGGAGGUAAUUAUUUACAGAUAAACUUCCAUGAAAAAUUCUACAUUGUUUCUGUGAGCAUGAACACAAGUGCUCAAGGUCGACCCUCACUUCUUCAAUGCAUAACUUUCCAAUCACUUCUCUUUUUGAAAAACUUUUUUAGGCAUGAGAGGCAAGUAUUUUUUUUUGGUAUUUUCAUUCUUUUUUUUGUAUGUUUCACCCACAACUAAACAGAAACAAAAAGGAAAAACAAAAUCUAGUUAGUGAAGAAAGCAAACAAGCACACACGAGAAUAUCAACCCCACGCUAUUGCUCCCCGGCAACGGCGCCAGAAAAGAGCUUGAUAAUCCCCAAGUGCAGGGAAUCAUCGGACCAAUUCCCAAAGGUGGAAGUGAUAAGUAUGGAGUGUUGAACCCACAAGGAGCUAAAGGUAAGAUCAAUAUUCUCUCAAGUCCUAUCUGCCACCGAUACGACUCUACGUGCACCGAACGUUUGCUUCCAACUAGAAACAAGAAAUAAAAUUGUGCUGUGGGUAUAAAGAGGAUAACUUUGUAUGAUAUCGGAGGGCUAAAAUCUAAAAGUAGGUGCUGUUAUAAUAAAGUUAGAAUAUAUUACUAAAUAAUAUAAAUAGCGAGUGUGGAAUAAUGGUGGAUCGGUGUGUGGAAUUGUCCUAGGCAAUUGUUAACAAGACCGGUGAUCACUAUUGCAAUUUCAUAUGAGGGAGAGGCAUAAGCUAACAUACUUUCUCUACUUGGAUCAUAUGCACUUAUGAUUGGAACUCUAGCAAGCAUCCGCAAAUACUAAAGAUCAAUAAGGUAAAACCCAACCAUAGCAUUAAAGCAUCGAGUCCCCUUUAUUCCCAUACGCAACAACCCCCUUACUCGGGUUUGUGUUUCAGUCACUCACCAACCCACUAUAAGCGAAUCAUAAACAUAUUGCAACACCCUACAGCGGGAAUCCCUCACGCUUGCGCGACACGGAGGGCACCAUAGGACAGCAUCAAAGUAAAACGUACAACUCAUACUGAUACGUCUCCAAUGUAUCUAUAAUUUUUGAUUGCUCCAUGCUACUUUAUCUACUGUUUUAGGCAAUAUUGGGCUUUAUUAUCCACUUUUAUAUUAUUUUUGGGGUUAACCUAUUAACCGGAGGCCCAGCCCAGAUUUUCUGUUUUAUGCCUAUUUCAGUGUUUCGAGGAAAAGGAAUAUCAGACGGAGUCAAAGUGGAACGAAAUCAAAUAGAGAAGUUAAUUUUGGAAGGAAACCAAUCUGUUGGGCUUGGAGUGCACGUCAGGGGAUUCCCGGGCUGCCCACGAGGGUGGGGGGCGCGCCCCUCCCCCCUGGGAACGCCUCCCUACCUCGUGAGCACUCCAAGGGUCCACCGACGUACCCCCUGCACCCAUAUAUACCUACGUACCCUAAAACUUCCAGAACAGAAGAUAGAUCGGGAGUUCCACCGCCGCAAGCCUCUGUAGCCACCAAAAACGAAUCGGGACCCUGUUCUGGCACCGUGCCGGAGGGGGAUCCCAUCACCGGAGGCCAUCUUCAUCAUCCCGACGCUAUCCAUGACAAGGAGGGAGUAGUUCACCCUCGGGGCUGAGGGUAUGUACCAGUAGCUAUGUGUUUGAUCUCUCUCUCUCGUGUUCUCUCUCGUGUUCUAUUACACGAUCUUGAUGUAUCCCGAGCUUUGCUAUUGUAGUUGAAUCUUAUGAUGUUUCUCCCCCUCUACUCUCUUGUGAUGAAUUUAGUUUCCCCUUUUGAAGUUAUCUUCUCGGAUUGAGUCUUUUAUGAGAACACUUGAUGUAUGUCUUGCCGUGAUUAUCUGUGGUGACCAUGGGAUAUCAUGUGCCACUUGAUGUAUGUUUUGGUGAUCAACUUGCGGGUUUCGUGAGGGAACCUACGCAUAGGGGUUGGCACAUGUUCUUGACUCUCCGGUAGAAACUUUGGGGCACUCUUUGAAGUACUUUGUGUUGGUUGGAUGAAUCUGAGAUUGUGUGAUGCAUAUCGUAUAAUCAUGCCCACGGAUACUUGAGGUGACAAUGGAGUAUCUAGGUGACAUUAGGGUUUUGGUUGAUUUGUAUCUUAAGGUGUUAUUCUAGUACGAACUCUUUUAUAGAUCGAUCCGAAAGAAUAACUUUGAGGUGGUUUCGUACCCUACCACAAUCUCUAUGUUUGUUCUUCACUAUUAGUGGCUUUGGAGUGACUAUUUGUUGCAUGUUGAGGGCUUGUUACAUGAUCUAUCUAUGUUAUUAUUGUUGAGAGAACUUGCACUAGUGAAAGUAUGAAUCCUAGGCCUUGUUUCCUAUCAUUGCAAUACCGUUUACGCUCACUUUUAUCGCUUGCUACCUUGCUGUUUUUAUUAUUUCAGAUUACAAAAACCCAUAUCUACUAUCUAUUUUGCACUUGUAUCUCCAUCUCUUCGCCGAACUAGUGCACCUAUACAAUUUACCAUUGUAUUGGAUGUGUUGGGGACACAAGAGACUCUUUGUUAUUUGGUUGCAGGGUUGCUUAAGAGAGACCAUCUUCAUCCUACGCCUCCCACGGAUUGAUAAACCUUAGGUCAUCCACUUGAGGGAAAUUUGCUACUGUCCUACAAACCUGUGCACUUGCAGGCCCAACAACGUCUACAAGAAGAAGGUUGUGUAGUAGACAUCAAGCUCUUUUCUGGCGCCGUUGCCGGGGAGGCUAGGUAAGUGAAGGUAUAUCUUUAGAUCUUGCAAUUGAAUUUUUUUUGUUUCUUGUUUUAGCACUAGUCUAGUUUAUAAAAGAAAACUACAACAAAAAAUGGAGUUGAGUUUGUCUCAUAUGCUUCACCUUUUUAAUAUCUUUCGUGAGUAUGAUGGAAAGGAUAAUUGUGCUCAAGUGCUAGAAGAAGAAAUCUAUAGAAUGUUUGGAACUAAAUAUGUGAAUGAUGAGCAUGAUUGCAAUGUUGUUAGUAUGAAUUCCUUGAAUAUCCAUGAUGCUAAUGAUAUGCAAAGCCACAAGCUUGGGGAAGCUAUGAUUGAUGGAGACGAUAUUUUUUGUCCCCCAAGCUUUGAUGAGCAAAUUUACUAUGAUGAAAGCAUGCCUCCUAUCUAUGAUGAUUAUUGUGAUGAUACGUAUGCUAUAAAGAAAAAGUUUGCUUAUGUGGAGAUUAGAAAUUUUUCUGUGCUUGUAGAUCAUGAAAGAAUGCUUUAGGUGCUGGUUAUAUUGUUGAAUUCAUUCACAAUGCUACUGAAAAUUAUUAUGAGGGAGGAACAUAUGCUUGUAGGAAUUGCAAUAAUGUCAAGUUUCCUCUCUCUAUGCUUAAAUUCUUAAAUCUAUGCUUGAUGUGCCAUCCUAUGCUAGUUGAUUAUUGUUCCCAUAAGUUGUUUGCUCACAAAAUCCCUAUGCAUAGGAAGUGGGUUAGACUUAAAUGUUCUAGUCAUAUGCUUCAUGAUGCUCCCGUUAUGUUUCAAUUCUUAUCUUUUAUGUGAGCAUCAUUGUCAUCAUCAUGCCUAGCUAAAAGGCAUUAAAGAAAAGCGCUUGUUGGGAGACAACCCAAUAUUUAUCCUUACUAUUUUUGUGUGUCCACAUGAUUAUGCUACUGUAUUAAUCAUGUUUUAUAGCUUUUGUUUCAAUCAAGUGCCAAGUAGAACCUUUGGGAAGAUUUGGGUGAAGUUUAUAUGAUCUUGCUGUGAAAAACAGAAACUUUAGCGCUCACGAUAUUAGCUGCCAUUUUUUACUGGAGAGUGAUUUUAGGUUGAUUCUUUUUUAAUAUGAUUAAUAGACAAAUUUCUCAGGUCCAGCAAUUUAUUUCAUAAUUUUUGGGGUUCCAGAAGUAUAUGUUUUAUAUAGAUUACUACAGACUGUUCUGUUUUUGACAGAUUCUGUUUUCUAUGUGUUGUUUGCUUAUUUUGAUGAAUCUAUGAGUAGUAUCGGAGGGUAUGAACCAUAGAUAAGUUGGAAUACAGUAGGUUUUACACCAAUAUAAAUUUAGAAUGAGUUCAUUACAGUACCUAAGUGGUGUUUUUAUUUUCUUAUCUAACGGAGCUUACGAGUUUUGUUUUGAGUUUUGUGUGGUUGAAGUUUUCGAGUUUUGGGUAAAUAUUCGAUGGACUAUGGAAUAAGGAGUGGAAAGAGCCUAAGAUUGGGGAUUCCCAAGGCACCCCAAGGUAAUAUUCAAGGACAACCAAGCAACUAAGCUUGGGGAUGCCCCGGAAGGUAUCCCCUCUUUCGUCUUCGUUCAUCGGUAACUUUACUUGGAGCUAUAUUUUUAUUCACCACAUGAUAUGUGUUUUGCUUGGAGUGUCAUUUUAUUUUUUGUUUUAUGUUAGUUAGAAUAGUGUUUUGCCUCUUUAGUUUCAAUAAAAAGUCAAGGAUAGCCUUUGCCAUGCUUAUUUUGCUAGUUUGCAUGUUGCUGUUUGAAAACAGAAAGUUUACCGCUGUUGCAAAAAUUCUCUAGAAAGGUCAGAGCAUGGUCUAACGUUGAAUCCUUUUGCAUAUUGAGCUAUGAUAAAUUUAUUACAGUGGGAAGUUUAGUUCAUAAUUUUUGGAUUCAGGGAAGUAUUGAUACUCUUGCAUUCUUUACAGACUGUACUGUUUUGGCAGAUUGCUGUUAUGGUUGCAUUGUUUGAAUAUGUUUGCUUGAUUAAUGAUUCUAUUUGAGGAUAGGAGUAUUAAAUAUGCAGAGGCAUUUAGCAUGAAAUGUGGGAUAAUAAUUUUAGUGAUUUGUUACAGUAUAAAAUGAUAAGGUUUUGCAUUGGUUUAUACUAACCUAUCUCACGAGUUCUUAUUGAGUUUGUUGUGAAUGAAGCUUUUGAUAAAAAGAGAAACCAUGAUAUGAGAGGAAUUAAGGAGACACAAAAGCUCAAUCUUGGGGAUGCCCAAGGCACCCCAAGAUAAUAUUUCAAGAAGUCUCAAGCAUCUGGGGAUGCCUCGGUAGGCAUCCCACCUUUCUUCUUCAACAACUAUCGGUUAGUAUCGGUUGAGCCUAAGUUUUUGCUUCUUCACAUGAGUUGUGCUAUCCUUGCAAUGUAGUUUUCUUUAGCUUUGCUUGAUGUUUGAAUAAAGUUUCAAGAUCUGAAAUUCUUAAACAAGAGGGAGUCUUCACAUAGUUGCAUAAUUAUUCGACUACUCAUUGAUCUUCACUUAUAUCUUUCGGAGUAGUUUUUGUUAUUGCUCUAAUACUUCACUUAUAUCUUUUAGAGCACAAUGGUGGUUUUAUUUUGAAGAAAUAUUUGAUCUCUCAUGCUUCACUUAUAUUAUUUUGAGAGUCAUUAUUAGCAUGGUAGUUUGCUUAAUGUUAAUAUACUUGGUAUUCAAGAUAUGUGAAACUUUCUUUUGAGUGAGUUGAAUACUAAGAUAAGUUUGAUACUUGAUAAUUGUUUUGAGAUAUGGAGGUGAUAAUAUCAAAGUCGUGCUAGUUGGGUAAUUAUGAAUUCAAAGAAUGCUUGUGUUAAAGUUUUCAAGUCCCGUAGCAUGCACGCAUGGUUAAAGUUGUGUAACAAAUUUGAAACAUGAAGUGUACCUGGCUUGUGCAUCCUUAUGAGUGGUGGUCGGGGACGAGCGAUGGUCUUUUCCUACCAAUCUAUCCCCCUAGGAGCAUGCGCGUAGUACUUGAUUUUUGAUGACUUAUAAAUUUUUGCAAUAAGUAUAUGAGUUCUUUUGACUAAUGUUGAGUCCAUGGAUUAUACGCACUCUCACCUUUCCGCCUUUGCUAGCCUCUUCGGUACCGUGCAAUGCCCUUUCUCACCUUGAGAGUUGGUGCAAACUUCGCCGGUGCAUCCAAACCCCGUGAUACGAUACGCUCUAUCACACAUAAACCUCCUUAUAUCUUCCUCAAAACAUCCACCAUACCUACCUAUCAUGGCAUUUCCAUAGCCAUUCCGAGAUAUAUUGCCAUGCAACUUCCACCAUCAUCAUCAUGACAUACAUUACUUUUGUCAUAUUGCCAUUGCAUGAUCAUGUAGUUGACAUCGUAUUUGUGGCAAAGCCACCAUGCAUUAUUUUUCAUACAUGUCACUCUUGACUCAUUGCACCAUCCCGGUACACCGCCGGAGGCAUUCAUAUAGAGUCAUAUCUUGUUCUAAGUUUCGAGUUGUAAUCCUUAUGUUGUAAUCAAUAGAAGUGUGAUGAUCAUCAUUAUUAGAGCAUUGCCCAAACAAAAAAAGAAGAAAGGCCAAAAAAAGAAAGGCCCAAAAAAGGCCAAAAAAAAGAAAGGCCCAAAAAAAUAAAAAAAUAAAAAGGGCAAUGCUACUACCUCUUUUUCCACACUUGUGCUUCAAAGUAGCACCUUGUUCUUCAUAUAGUGAGUCUCAUAUAUUGUGCUUCAAAGUAGCACCUUGUUCUUCAUGUAGUGAGUCUCAUAAGUUGUCUUUUUAUACUAGUGGGAAUUUUUCAUUAUAGAACUUGGCUUGUAUAUUCCUACGAUGGGCUUCCUCAAAUGCCCUAGGUCUUCAUGAGCAAGCGAGUUGGAUGCACACCCACUAGUUUUCUUUUGUUGAGCAUACAUAGCUCUAGUGCAUCCGUUGCAUGGCAAUCCCUACUCCUCAUGUUGACAUCAAUUGAUGGGCAUCUCCAUAGCCCGUUGAUUAUCCUCAUCAAUGUGAGACUUUCUCCUUUUUCGUCUUCUCCACACAAUCCCCAUCAUCAUAUUCUAUUCCACCCAUAGUGCUAUAUCCAUGGCUCACGCUCAUGUAUUGCGUGAAGGUUGAAAAAGUUUGAGAUUAUUUAAGUAUGAAACAAUUGCUUGGCUUGUCAUCGGGGGUAUAGAAGUUGGGAACAUCUUUGUGUGACGAAAAUGAAUCAUAGCCUAACUAUAUUAUUUUGUAGGGAUGAACUUUCUUUUGCCAUGUUAUUUUGAGAAGACAUGAUUGCUUUGAUUAGUAUGCUUGAAGUAUUAUUAUUUUUGUGUCAAUAUGAACUUUUGUCUUGAAUCUUUCGGAUCUGAAUAUUCAUAUCACAAUUAAGAAGAUUUACAUUGAAAUUAUGCCAAAGUAUCACUCCGCAUCAAAAAUUAUUUUUUAUCAUUUACCUACUCGAGGACGAGCAGGAAUUAAGCUUGGGGAUGCUUGAUACGUCUCCAACGUAUCUAUAAUUUUUGAUUGCUCCAUGCUACUUUAUCUACUAUUUUAGGCAAUAUUGGGCUUUAUUAUCCACUUUUAUAUUAUUUUUGGGACUAACCUAUUAACCGGAGGCCCAGCCCAGAUUUGCUGUUUUAUGCAUGUUUCAGUGUUUCAAGGAAAAGGAAUAUCAGACGGAGUCAAAGCAGAACGAAAUCAACUAGAGAAGUUAAUUUUGGAAGGAAACCAAUCUGUUGGGCUUGGAGUGCACAUCAGGGGAUUCCCGGGCUGCCCGCGAGGGUGGGGGCGCGCCCCUCCCCCCUGGGCACGCCUCCCUACCUCGUGAGCACUCCGAGGGUCCAUCGACGUACCCCCUGCACCCAUAUAUACCUAGGUACCCUAAAACUUCCAGAACAGAAGAUAGAUCGGGAGUUCCGCUGCCGCAAGCCUCUGUAGCCACCAAAAACCAAUCAGGACCCUGUUCCGGCACCCUGCCGGAGGGGGAUCCCAUCACCGGAGGCCAUCUUCAUCAUCCUGAUGCUAUCCAUGACGAGGAGGGAGUAGUUCACCCUCAGGGUUGAGGGUAUGUACCAGUAGCUACGUGUUUGAUCUCUCUCUCUCUUGUGUUCUCUCUCGUGUUCUAUGGCACGAUCUUGAUGUAUCCCGAGCUUUGCUAUUGUAGUUGGAUCUUAUGAUGUUUCUCCCCCUCUACUCUCUUGUGAUGAAUUUAGUUUCCCCUUUUGAAGUUAUCUUCUUGGAUUGAGUCUUUUAUGAGAAUACUUGUGUCACACCCUAGUUAGUUCAUGCAUUAGAGUGUUGCAUCAUGUCUAUUCUUUCAUCAGAAACCUGAAAUGGGGAUGACAGAACCCCCAGCCCCCUCUGAAACCAUAAAUGAACCUGAAAUGCCUGAAAUGCCCUUCUAAAAUGCCCAUCAUUUUUGUCUUGGUUCAGAACCUCUGCCAAAAGUGAUGCAAAUUUUUCUAGGUCAUCUUAGGGUCUUUGAAUUAAAUCAUAAAUAUUUGAAUUUGGGCAUUUAAAAUUAUAUAAAAUAUUCAAAUGCUCAAAUAUCUCCAAACUAAAAUGUUUCAUGUUGGAAAUAAUCCAACUAUGGACCAGGAGUAGUUUGGUGAUUUUAGGAGUUGCCUAAGUAUUUUUAAUAAUUCAACAAAGUUGCAGAAGUAUUAAAAAAACAGAAAACAGGAGAAAUAGCAAAAACUUACCUGGCGCCCAGCACCCGGCCCACCUGCCGGCCCAGCCCAGCGUCGCGCCAGCGAGCUGCUUGCCGGCCAGGCAGGCAGGCAGGUGCCCGACGGCGGCCGCAGCGUGCGCCACGCAGCUGGCCGUCGCCCUGCUUCACCUCCUCGCCUCGUGGCUGGAUGGAUGAACUCCACGCCGCGCCGUGAACCCGCAGGACACCUCCAUUCUCCCCCAACUCCUCUCUCUCGCGCUCCCCCGCCAUGGCCGACGCCAUCGCCGCCACCCCCUCGCCGUAGCCACGCCCUCCGUCAACCUCACGUCGUGCCGCCGUGUCCAGGAGCUCCGCCAUCCUCCUCUCCUUCGAGCAAGCCGAGCCCCGAGCGCUCGCAAGGCCCGAGCCCACCGCAUCGACCUCGAUCGAACCGCCGUCGUCGGAGAUCCCCUUCAACGCCGACGUCGCUCCGGCCCGUCCCCGGCCGCACCAAGUGCUUCGUCGAACUUCCCGUGAGCUUAGCCAUCUUCCCCUCCCUUCUUUUCUUGCUUCCGAGCUGUGUAGUGACCUCCCGGAGCUCAACCGCACCCACCGCCGCGGAGCUCGUCGCCGACGUGCUCCCGGUCACCCUCCGGCCACAAACUGGUGUCCAUCAUGCUCACCACAGCACGUAGCACCUAACCAGCUACUCCCCGCACCUCACCGACCCCUCUAGCGUAAAGUUCACCUUCGGCCGAACUCCGGUGGCCGCCAAAGUCGUCGCCGGCGCCAACUCCGGCCACCCCGACCCCAACGGACUCCACCAAGAGCUGCGGCUCCUCCUCAGCUCCACUCCGAUGGCCUCCGCGACUCGUUUGGUUGCCGGAACGGCAAAAACCACUUCCGCCGCCGUGUCGGGCUCGCCGGCGACUAAACGCCGGUGCAGCCGACCUGGGUUUGACCGCGGGUGGGCCCUGGUUGACUCCGAUGAGUCAAUGACAGGUGGGGCCCAGCCCUGUUAACUAAAUAGGUUUAGUCUUAAUUAAACUUUAACUAAUCUAAUUACCCUGACACCCUGGACCCACAGUCAGGUUUGACCUGGACGUCUCCGUUGACCCUGACGUCAUCCUGACGCAUGGCUGACGCAAUAAAUUAAUUUCUGGAUUUAUUCUAAUAUAGGAAAUUCCAGAAUAUAGUUUAAACUUCAAAAAUUCAUAACUUUUAAUCUGUAACUCCAAAUCAGACAAGUUAUAUAUGAAAAAUGAUCAAAAAAAUCCAAUCUAUCCAUCUGUACUAUUUUCAUGCAUGAUUAAACAAGUUAACUUGAUGUUUAAUGCAGAACAAGAUAAAACACUUUAAAGGGCCAUGUAUGAGUUUGAAAUUUGAAUCUUUGGUUCAAAUUGGUUCAAACCCUUCUGGUCUUAGUUGCAUUAGCCCAACACACUCAUAUUGCCAUGUUUCAUGCAUGCAUCAUAUUGUCGCACAUUGUUUGGUGAUGGUUGUGUAUCGGUGUUCUUUGCGGCAGGUUCUGCCUCCGAGGAGUACCGUGAUUACCCUAGCGAAGAAUCGUAUCCGUGCAUCGAUCCAUCAGGCAAGCAACCAACCAUUUGAUCAUAUCGAUACAAUCCCAUGUUCUCGAUCUUGCUCUCUUUUACUGCAUUAAGGCAACGCGUUUCAAACUGCUGUGUGCUAUGGUAGUUGAACCCAUUUCCUCUGCAUGACCUGUCAUUGCCACAGUAACUAGAUGAAACCCACUAGCAUGUGUAGGAGUUGUUUGAGCCAUAUGUAUGUGUUGUUCCUACCUUGCUAUGCCUGCUAUGCUUAGAGUCGUGUCAGGUCUGGUUCGUCUGGGUGAUGGGCUAGAGUGAAAUGAUUAUGUCGGUAAUGAGAGUGAUGUGGUGAACACGAUUUGGUAAAGGUAUCGAUGAGAGGCCAUGUAGGAGUACAUGGUGGGUUGUUUCAUUGAAGCCGACCUUAAGCACUGAGAUCUGUAUGUGUGAUUUAAGAUACAGCUACUACCAUGCAUUGGGCCCUGAAAUAUGACCCCGCUCGACUUCUUAUUCACCCUAGUUCUCUGUCCAGGAGUUGCAAGUAGUUUCUGGUGUUUGUAGCCUACUGGAGGCCGUGGACAGCGCUGACCGUAGGGGUGGGCUGUGAUGCGGUAGGUACGUGGCACGGUGUACCGAAUACCCGUUAGGUAUCUCGGGAACCCUGUUCACAUCGUUUGGGGCUGUGAGCGAAACCUCGGCCGGAUCUCCUCAUGGAUGGAACCCGAAUAGGCGAUAAACCUGGACUAGAGACUUAGGUGUUUAGGUAGGUCGUGGUCUACACCCACGUCGGCUUUCGCUUGAAGUCUGCCGAGCACAUGUCGUGUGCAGACGCUAAGUGGUGGAAACAUGUAUGAAGAAGUACACCCCUGCAGGGUUAACAUGAUCUAUUCGAAUAGCCGCGUCCGCGGUAAAGGACUACUUGGUUGCCUAUACAGUUCAUAGACAAGUAAAUGGAAACUACUAAAAGCCUCAAGAUAAGUGUGAGUGCCGAGGAUGGCUCUUCAGUAGGAAGACGGAGGUGGAUCCUCGGUAGUGUAUUGAAGUGGUGAGUAGUGGACUCGUGUGCGCAAAACCGUUUCAAGAUGGAGUCUCGUAGGAUAGCCUAGCCAAGAGUCAAAGCUGGCUUGCUGCAACAACUCCACCAACCCUUCUUGAUAAUAUGCAUGUAUGUAGGAUCUGAUGUAAGUCUUGCUGAGUACCUUUGUGCUCAUGUUGCUAUAAUCUACAUUUUUACAGAAGACGCUGCAACCCCUUCUGAUGGGUUCUUCGUAGACGUUGACAUCAAUGAGUAGGCUAAGGCCCAGGUGGUGAUCCUGAGCUUGUGAAGGACCACGUAGUAUAGCUAGGCUUUCCAAGCCUCUUUUAUUUUACUAGUUGUCUGUACUCAGACAAGUUACUUCCGCUGCUGGUUUGUAUGACUGUAUGACUUGAAUGCUGGGUCGUGUGAACCGUACCUAUGUGUAUGUUAUGUAUGGCUCUCUGGACCUUAAAUAAGGUACUUGUGUCAUAGAGUCAUGUUGUGAUGCCUUGUUGUAUUUACACAUAUCGAGCAUAUUGUGUGUAUGAUUGAAAUGCUUGGUAUGUGUGGGAUCUGACUAUCUAGUUGUUUAUCUUUAGUAGCCUCUCUUACCGGGAAAUGUCUCCUAGUGUUACCACUGAGCCAUGGUAGCUUGCUACUGCUCUGGAACACUUAGGCUGGCCGGCAUGUGUCCUUCUUCGUUCCUGUGUCUGUCCCUUCGGGGAAACGUCACACAUUGAGUACCGGAGUCCUGUUAGCCCGCUACAGCCCAGUUUACCGGAGUCCUGCUAGCCCAGUGCUAUAGCCCGGACCCACUUGCUGAUGACCGACACGUUCGAAGCUGGGUCAUGGAUGCCUGUCCCUGUAAGUCUGUGCCACUUUGGGUUUACGACUAGUCAUGUUAGCCCGGGCUCCUUAUCAUAUGGAUGCUGGCGACACUAUCAUAUACGUGAGCCAAAAGGCGCAAACGGUCCCGGGCAAAGGGUAAGGCGACACCCGUGGGGAUACCGUGCGUGAGGCCGCAAAGUGAUAUGAGGUGUUACAGGCUAGAUCGAUGUGACAUCGAGUCGGGGUCCUGACAGCGUUGGUAUCAGAGCCGGACUGCCUGUAGGUUCUCCAAGCCAAACUGGUUGAUGUUGAGUCUAGAAAUUCUUUAGUUAUAUGUAGGGGAAUUGUUUGUGGGUUGGAACGUAAGGCUCUUUUUACUCCUUUAUCUUAUGACAUUCUGAUCUGAGUGAGUCUAUUCUUCCACCGGGGGUUAAGGAAUUAGGAUCUUUUCUCUCUAUCAGGUUCACGUGUUACUAAUCAGUAGUACCUUAUAGGUUUGAUGGAUACAAGCCUAGUUCAGUUCUACUACCACAUUAUGUUGCUGGGAUGGACUCAGAACUUUGAUAUGAUGUUGUUGAGUGUGUAUGAAAUCCUUUGUCAAAUGUCUCAAAAUCCUUUUUGAGCAUUUACAGCUGUUAUGCUGUCGAAAUUUUGCUAGAAAUUCUAAUGCCUUUGCAUUAUGGUUGUGCUUUUAGAUGACCACUCGCGACCUCAAUCAAGUGGUUCGCCUGACUCGAUGCCUAGAUGUACCCGGCCAUACUGCCAUGUUGGUCAGGGUAAUGACUGAGGCUGGAUACCGUUGGUAUCCUGAGUACACGGUCGAAGAGCAAUUUCGAGGCUUUAAUCAAAGCCAGUAUCUCUGCACUGUCAGGAUAUUUCCAUCUUAUCCUGGAUCCACCGAGCCCCUUCACUGCUCCUAUGGACUCGGGGUUACUAUUGAGAUGGCUGUGCAGGAUGCCGCCUAUUCUAUGAUGACCAUCAUGCGAGUCAGGACUGGCCUAUUUCGGGACUCUGAUUUUCGGUAUAUGCCAGCAUCACUUCCGGGAGCACAAGGGUAUCUCCAAGCUAUCUAUGCUGACCCCACUCAGGAGGAUUCACGGACUCGCACCACUGCUGAGAUGCUCGAGGAUAAGGACCGUGAAAAUCGGGCCUUGAGGCUAGAGCUUUCAAUACCCGUGCUGACCAUUGGGCCACGUUGACUCGGUUUGCACCGGCUGUGCAAGCUGGAUAUUCGGAUAUGCGCGAUCUCUAUCCUGUGAGAUCUGCUCUGCCAGACGUGAUGGGUUGGCGUGAUGUAGGAGGCAUCACCCCACCUCGCGGUCCCCGCAGGCCACCGUCUGUUGGUCCAAGACCUCAUCCUAGCCCCUAUGGUCCACAAGCUCCGCGAGAUCGUCUGUUCCCGGAUGAUCAUGUUGAGCUUCCAGGCUAUGGAGGUGACUUCUACGAGGACUACUACGGAUCGGUCUGAGUUAGUGGUAGUAUCACUAGUUCGUACUAGCUGUGUCGUCUAUCGUCCUGCGUGACUCGUGGGAUAUGACCUAGUUUGUACCGCUUUUCGGAGGUGUAGAAAAAUAAUGUAUAGGAGCUUGGGAUGCCUCCGAUGUGAUGUAAUCUUCCUUUCACCGUAAUAGUACCUUGUUUGGUCUUGUACUAAACCUUGUAUGGUGUGUAUGACGAUGGAAUAAAGAAGCAGUUUCUGUAUCUACCAUGUCAUACGGAUGAUCAUCUUGCAUUCUGAGUUAUUCCUUACAUUCUGUAUCCUAUGUCGGAAUCUUACCAUUCUGACUAAAUCAUUGUCUUGUUUACCUAGGAUGGUCAACACGCGCAAUAACCCUGCUCCUCAAGAGCAGGCCGAAGGCAGUGAAGUCAGGAAUGCAAAUCUGCCUCAUCCUCCUUCCCUAGCAGAGGUUAUGCUGGAAGCCGAGAGAAACAAGCGGGAGACCAACCGUUUGUUGGAGCGUAUUGAACAGAACACAGCACGCCAUCAGAGAAAUAACUUGGUGUCACUCAGUGAUUUCAUCAAGUUACAUCCACCCACGUUCCACCACUCCGUCGAGCCUCUCGACGCUGAUGACUGGCUUCGCAGUAUUUCUCACAAACUGCGUUCCGCGCUAGUAGCUGAGGCUGACAAGGUCACCUUUGCUGCAUAUCAUCUUGAAGACCCCGCCAGUCUAUGGUGGGAGAAUUAUGGAGCUAUGCGCCCAGCGGGCCAUGUCACUACUUGGGCUGAAUUCAGCGAGGCUUUCCGUGAACAUCACAUUCCGGAGGGUCUCAUGGACCGUAAACGUGAGGAAUUUUGCAGUUUCACUCAAGGCCGACUCUCUGUGGAUGCUUACAGCAGGGAGUUCGGUAACCUCGCACGAUAUGCAACUGAGGAAGUUUCUACUGAUGCCAAGAAGCAAGCAAGGUUCCGUAAGGGACUUAGUCCUGAGCUUCGCCGCGACCUCCGUCUGCAUGAGUGCACAUCUUUUCAGAAGCUUGUUAACAAGGCCAUCAGUGUUGAGACUGGUCAGACUGAUUAUGACGCAACACGCAAGCAUGGCCGUGACGUGGGUUCCUCAUCCGGUGCUGGUCCUUAGAAGCGCCGCGUGUGGGUGCCUAACACUGCCCUGCCACCCAGGUUCACACCAAGGCCAUCCUUCCAGGCGCCUCGCCCCAUUCAACAGUUUGCACCAGCCAAGCCCUAUGGUGGUCCAACCAACAAUGCUCCUCCACGCGCCAGUUCCGUGACUUGCUUUAAGUGUGGGGAAUCUGGCCACUAUAUGCGCGAGUGUCCCCAGACCAACCCCAACCAACCUGCUAAAGCUGUUGGCCGUGGCAAGCCGACGGGUAAAGUGUUCCACGCCAAGCCGGCCACCGCUACACGUGGCCAUGUCAACUGUAUCUCUACCGAAGAAGCUCAAGAGGAUCCCAACGUCGUUCUCGGUAUGCUCCUUGUUAAUUGCCACCCGGCAUCUGUUCUUUUCGAUAAAGGAGCAUCUCAUUCAUUUAUAUCCGAGAGCUAUGCUCGUCUGCAUAACACCACAUUCUGUGAGAUGCCCACCUCUAUGGUAAUUCAAACUCCGGGAUCCAAAUGGCAAACCUCUAGGGUAAGUCAUGGAAAUGAAAUCCAAGUCGACAGACUUGUUUUCCUUGCAUCUUUGAUAGCUCUUAAAUCUUCAUAUAUUAAUAUCAUCUUGGGUAUGGACUGGAUGUCAGCCCAUCAUGCCAAAAUUGAUUGCUUCUCUAGGACUGUUCAACUCACCCAUCCUUCGGGGAAGAUAGUCAAUGUCUUGACCCGAAUAGCCAAGCGACAGUUAUAUUCUCUUAACGCCAGCCCUUUGCCAGACCUUGAGGACGUUCCGGUAGUCCGUGACUUUCCGGAUGUCUUUCCAGAGGAAUUGCCAGGUGUUCCACCUGACAGGGAUGUUGAGUUCGUAAUAGACCUCAUCCCAGGAACCGUCCCGAUUGCUAGAAGACCCUAUAAGAUGGCACCACUAGAACUAGCCAAGCUUAAGAUACAACUCGAUGAGUCCUUGAAAAAGGGUUUCAUCCGACCUAGUUCAUCUCCGUGGGCUUGCCCCGUCCUCUUCGUCAAGAAGAAGGAUGGUACGGACCGGAUGGUUGUAGAUUAUCGACCUGUCAAUUUGGUCACAAUCAAGAACAAAUAUCCGCUUCCCAGGAUCAACGACCUGUAUGAUCAGCUCACUGGAUCCUCAAUCUUCUCCAAAAUGGAUUUGAGGUUGGGCUACCAUCAAAUCAAAAUCAAGAACGGGGACAUUCCUAAAACGGCCUUUAUUACUCGUUAUGGCCAAUACGAGUACACCGUCAUGUCCUUCGGUUUAACCAACGCUCCAGCCACCUUUUCUCGGUUGAUGAACUCAAUCUUCAUGGAGUAUUUGGAUAAAUUCGUCGUGGUUUACCUCGAUGAUAUACUCAUCUACUCCAAGAACGAGGAAGAACAUGCCGAACAUCUAAGGCUAGUGUUGAAGAAACUUCGAGAGCAUCGCCUUUAUGCCAAAUUUUCUAAAUGUGAAUUUUGGUUGUCAGAAGUGACCUAUCUGGGUCAUGUAAUAUCUGGUAAAGGUAUUGCUGUUAACCCUGAGCGAGUUCAAGCCGUCCUUGAUUGGACUCCACCUGAAUCGGUCAAGCAAGUUUGGAGUUUUCUGGGCUUAGCAAGCUAUUGCCGUCGCUUUGUUGAAAAUUUCUCCAAAGUUGCAAAACCUCUAACCGAACUCCUCAAGAAAGAUAAAAAGUUCGAGUGGACUCCACAAUGUGAGCACAGCUUUCAGGAACUAAAAAGACGCCUGACCUCUGCUCCCGUACUGGUACCGCUAGACUUCUCUAAGGACUUUGUUAUCUACUGCGACGCCUCGCGACAAGGACUAGGUUGCAUUCUCAUGCAAGAUCGACACGUAAUUGCUUACGCUUCACGGCAAUUGCACCCACAUGAGGAGAAUUAUCCUACUGAUGAUCUAGAGCUUGCAGCUGUAGUCUAUGCACUUAAAACCUGGCGACAUUACCUCCUCGGUAAUCGUUGCGAAAUAUUCACUGAUCACCAAAGUCUGAAGUACAUCUUCACCCAACCGGAUUUGAAUCUCAGGCAAAGACGUUGGGUCGAGUUGAUCACAGAUUUCGACUUAGGAAUAACUUACACCCAGGGAAAGCCAACGUCAUGGCUGAUGCGCUAAGUCAUAAAUCUUAUUGUAACAACCUGAUGUUACAACAAAGUCAACCGCUUCUCCAUGAGGAAUUUCGGAAGCUUAACCUUCACAUUGUUCCUCAAGGAUUUCUUUCCACCUUGGUGGCGAAACCUACUCUUACGGAUCAAAUUAUCGCUGCCCAAAAGCGAGAUAAGGGAAUAUCUAAAAUCAAGGAGAACAUUGCUAGCGGAGGUGCUAGUUGUUUCUCCACAAAUGAUCAUGGUGUUGUGUACUUUGAGAACCGUUUAGUGGUUCCCAAGAACCAGCAUCUACGGCAGUUGAUCCUUAAGGAGGCUCAUGAAUCUCCUCUCACCAUUCAUCCCGGUAGUACCAAGAUGUAUCAGGACCUACGCCAGAGGUUCUGGUGGACUAGGAUGAAGAGAGAAAUUGCUCAGUAUAUUGCUAAUUGCGACGUCUGCCGUCGUGUAAAAGCAGAGCAUCAACGGCCUGCUGGCACCCUUCAACCCCUAGCUAUUCCUGAAUGGAAAUGGGAUAAAAUUGGUAUGGAUUUCAUUACCGGUUUUCCUAGGACUAAGAGAGGGAAUAAUGCUAUCUUCAUCGUUGUCGAUCGUCUUUCCAAAGUGGCCCAUUUCUUACCCGUUCGUGGGAGUAUAACUGCUAGUCAGUUAGCAGACCUGUACAUCUCCCGAAUAGUGUCUCUCCAUGGUGUUCCUUUGGAAAUUAACUCGGAUCGAGGAAGUCUUUUCACCUCUCGAUUUUGGGAAAGUUUCCAAAAUGCUAUGGGAACCCGCCUUUCUUUUAGCACCGCUUUCCACCCUCAAUCGAGUGGUCAGGUAGAACGCGUCAACCAGAUCCUAGAAGACAUGCUUCGAGCCUCUGUUAUCUCAUUCGGAAUGGAUUGGGAGAAAUGCCUUCCAUUUGCCGAAUUUGCUUACAACAACAGCUAUCAAUCUAGCUUGGGUAAAGCCCCUUUUGAAGUUCUCUAUGGACGACGGUGUCGAACACCCCUUAACUGGUCAGAAACCGGGGAAAGACAAUUCUUUGGCCCAGAUAUGAUUCAGGAAGCAGAAGAGCAAGUUCGCAUCGUUCGUGAAAAGUUGAAAACAGCCCAAUCUCGUCAAAAGAGUCAAUAUGACUGAAAACAUAAGGCUAUGACUUUCGAGGUUGACAAGAAGGCUUACCUUCGGGUUACUCCUCUGAAGGGAACCCAUCGUUUCGGUAUCAAAGGCAAAUUGGCUCCCCGUUACAUUGGACCUUUUCGUAUUCUCGCUAAACGAGGAGAAGUUGCCUACCAGUUGGAGCUACCUUCGCAUCUCUCCAGAGUCCACGAUGUCUUCCACGUUUCUCAACUUAGGCGUUGCUUCUCGGAUCCUAUCCAUGGAGUGGACCACGAAACGCUUGAUCUCCAAGAUGAUCUCACGUAUCGAGAGUACCCCAUUCGUAUCCUCGAUCAGGCCGAGCGUACCACUCGACGUCAUAAUAUCAAGUUUCUCAAAGUUCAAUGGUCGCACCAUUCUGAGGAUGAAGCAACUUGGGAAAGGGAGGAUCGUCUUCGACUCGAGUAUCCCGCCCUCUUUCCGGAGGAACCCAAAUCUCGGGACGAGAUUCUUUUGAGUGGGGGUGAGUUGUCACACCCUAGUUAGUUCAUGCAUUAGAGUGUUGCAUCAUGUCUAUUCUUUCAUCAGAAACCUGAAAUGGGGAUGACAGAACCCCCAACCCCCUCUGAAACCAACUAGGGUUUACUAAAAACUUUUUCAAUGAACCUGAAAUGCCCUUCUAAAAUGCCCAUCAUUUUUGUCUUGGUUCAGAACCUCUGCCAAAAGUGAUGCACAUUUUCCUAGGUCAUCUUAGGGUCUUUGAAUUAAAUCAUAAAUAUUUGAAUUUGGGCAUUUAAAAUUAUAUAAAAUAUUCAAAUGCUCAAAUAUCUCCAAACUAAAAUGUUUCAUGUUGGAAAUAAUCCAACUAUGGACCAGGAGUAGUUUGGUGAUUUUAGGAGUUGCCUAAGUAUUUUUAAUAAUUCAACAAAGUUGCAGAAGUAUUAAAAAAACAGAAAAUAGGAGAAAUAGCAAAAACUUACCUGGCGCCCAGCACCUGGCCCACCUGCCGGCCCAGCCCAGCGCCGCGCCAGCGAGCUGCUUGCCGGCCAGGCAGGCAGGUAGGUGCCCGACGGCGGCCACAGCGUGCGCCACGCAGCUGGCCGUCGCCCUGCUUCACCUCCUCGCCUCGUGGCUGGAUGGAUGAACUCCACGCCGCGCCGUGAACCCGCAGGACACCUCCAUUCUCCCCCAACUCCUCUCUCUCGCGCUCCCCCGCCAUGGCCGACGCCAUCGCCGCCACCCCCUCGCCGUAGCCACGCCCUCCGUCAACCUCACGCCGUGCCGCCGUGUCCAGGAGCUCCGCCAUCCUCCUCUCCUUCGAGCAAGACGAGCCCCGAGCGCUCGCAAGGCCCGAGCCCACCGCAUCGACCUCGACCGAACCGCCAUCGCCGGAGAUCCCCUUCAACGCCGACGUCGCUCCGGCCCGUCCCCGGCCGCACUAAGUGCUUCGUCGAACUCCCCGUGAGCUUAGCCAUCUUCCCCUCCCUUAUUUUCUUGCUUCCGAGCUGUGUAGUGACCUCCCGGAGCUCAACCGCACCCACCGCCGCGGAGCUCAUCGCCGACGUGCUCCCGGUCACCCUCCGGCCACAAACUGGUGUCCAUCAUGCUCACCACAGCACGUAGCACCUAACCAGCUACUCCCCGCACCUCACCGACCCCUCUAGCGUAAAGUUCGCCUUCGGCCGAACUCCGGUGGCCGCCAAAGUCGUCGCCGGUGCCAAAUCCGGCCACCCCGACCCCAACGGACUCCACCAAGAGCUGCGGCUCCUCCUCAGCUCCACUCCGAUGGCCUCCGCGACUCGUUUGGUUGCCGGAACGGCAAAAACCACUUCCGCUGCCGCGUCGGGCUCGCCGGCGACUAAACGCCGGUGCAGCCGACCUGGGUUUGACCGCGGGUGGGCCCUGGUUGACUCCGAUGAGUCAAUGACAGGUGGGGCCCAGCCCUGUUAACUAAAUAGGUUUAGUCUUAAUUAAACUUUAACUAAUCUAAUUACCCUGACACCCUGGACCCACAGUCAGGUUUGACCUGGACGUCUCCGUUGACCCUGACGUCAUCCUGACGCAUGGCUGACGCAAUAAAUUAAUUUCUGGAUUUAUUCUAAUAUAGGAAAUUCCAGAAUAUAGUUUAAACUUCAAAAAUUCAUAACUUUUAAUCUGUAACUCCAAAUCAGACAAGUUAUAUAUGAAAAAUGCUCAGAAAAAUCCAAUCUAUCCAUCUGUACUAUUUUCGUGCAUGAUUAAACAAGUUAACUUGAUGUUUAAUGCAGAACAAGAUAAAACACUUUAAAGGGCCAUGUAUGAGUUUGAAAUUUGAAUCUUUGGUUCAAAUUGGUUCAAACCCUUCUGGUCUUAGUUGCAUUAGCCCAACACACUCAUAUUGCCAUGUUUCAUGCAUGCAUCAUAUUGUCGCACAUUGUUUGGUGAUGGUUGUGUAUCGGUGUUCUUUGCGGCAGGUUCUGCCUCCGAGGAGUACCGUGAUUACCCUAGCGAAGAAUCGUAUCCGUGCAUCGAUCCAUCAGGCAAGCAACCAACCAUUUGAUCAUAUCGAUACAAUCCCAUGUUCUCGCUCUUGCUCUCUUUUACUGCAUUAAGGCAACGCGUUUCAAACUGCUAUGUGCUACGGUAGUUGAACCCAUUUCCUCUGCAUGACCUGUCAUUGCCACAGUAACUAGAUGAAACCCACUAGCAUGUGUAGGAGUUGUUUGAGCCAUAUGUAUGUGUUGUUCCUACCUUGCUAUGCCUGCUAUGCUUAGAGUCGUGUCAGGUCUGGUUCGUCUGGGUGAUGGGCUAGAGUGAAAUGAUUAUGUCGGUAAUGAGAGUGAUGUGGUGAACACGAUUUGGUAAAGGUAUCGAUGAGAGGCCAUGUAGGAGUACAUGGUGGGUUGUUUCAUUGAAGCCGACCUUAAGCACUGAGAUCUGUAUGUGUGAUUUAAGAUACAGCUACUACCAUGCAUUGGGCCCUGAAAUAUGACCCCGCUCGACUUCUUAUUCACCCUAGUUCUCUGUCCAGGAGUUGCAAGUAGUUUCUGGUGUUUGUAGCCUACUGGAGGCCGUGGACAGCGCUGACCGUAGGGGUGGGCUGUGAUGCGGUAGGUACGUGGCACGGUGUACCGAAUACCCGUUAGGUAUCUCGGGAACCCUGUUCACAUCGUUUGGGGCUGUGAGCGAAACCUCGGCCGGAUCUCCUCAUGGAUGGAACCCGAAUAGGCGAUAAACCUGGACUAGAGACUUAGGUGUUUAGGUAGGUCGUGGUCUACACCCACGUCGGCUUUCGCUUGAAGUCUGCCGAGCACAUGUCGUGUGCAGACGCUAAGUGGUGGAAACAUGUAUGAAGAAGUACACCCCUGCAGGGUUAACAUGAUCUAUUCGAAUAGCCGCGUCCACGGUAAAGGACUACUUGGUUGCCUAUACAGUUCAUAGACAAGUAAAUGGAAACUACUAAAAGCCUCAAGAUAAGUGUGAGUGCCGAGGAUGGCUCUUCAGUAGGAAGACGGAGGUGGAUCCUCGGUAGUGUAUUGAAGUGGUGAGUAGUGGACUCGUGUGCGCAAAACCGUUUCAAGAUGGAGUCUCGUAGGAUAGCCUAGCCAAGAGUCAAAGCUGGCUUGCUGCAACAACUCCACCAACCCUUCUUGAUAAUAUGCAUGUAUGUAGGAUCUGAUGUAAGUCUUGCUGAGUACCUUUGUGCUCAUGUUGCUAUAAUCUACAUUUUUACAGAAGACGCUGCAACCCCUUCUGAUGGGUUCUUCGUAGACGUUGACAUCAAUGAGUAGGCUAAGGCCCAGGUGGUGAUCCUGAGCUUGUGAAGGACCACGUAGUAUAGCUAGGCUUUCCAAGCCUCUUUUAUUUUACUAGUUGUCUGUACUCAGACAAGUUACUUCCGCUGCUGGUUUGUAUGACUGUAUGACUUGAAUGCUGGGUCGUGUGAACCGUACCUAUGUGUAUGUUAUGUAUGGCUCUCUGGGCCUUAAAUAAGGUACUUGUGUCGUAGAGUCAUGUUGUGAUGCCUUGUUGUAUUUACACAUAUCGAGCAUAUUGUGUAUAUGAUUGAAAUGCUUGGUAUGUGUGGGAUCUGACUAUCUAGUUGUUUAUCUUUAGUAGCCUCUCUUACCGGGAAAUGUCUCCUAGUGUUACCACUGAGCCAUGGUAGCUUGCUACUGCUCUGGAACACUUAGGCUGGCCGGCUUGUGUCCUUCUUCGUUCCUGUGUCUGUCCCUUCGGGGAAACGUCACACAUUGAGUACCGGAGUCCUGUUAGCCCGCUACAGCCCAGUUUACCGGAGUCCUGCUAGCCCAGUGCUACAGCCCGGACCCACUUGCUGAUGACCGACACGUUCGAAGCUGGGUCAUGGAUGCCUGUCCCUGUAAGUCUGUGCCACUUUGGGUUUACGACUAGUCAUGUCAGCCCGGGCUCCUUAUCAUAUGGAUGCUAGCGACACUAUCAUAUACGUGAGCCAAAAGGCGCAAACGGUCUCGGGCAAAGGGUAAGGCGACACCCGUGGGGAUACCGUGCGUGAGGCCGCAAAGUGAUAUGAGGUGUUACAGGCUAGAUCGAUGUGACAUCGAGUCGGGGUCCUGACAACUUGAUGUAUGUCUUGCCGUGAUUAUCUGUGGUGACCAUGGGAUAUCAUGUGCCACUUUAUGUAUGUUUUGGUGAUCAACUUGCGGGUUUCGUGAGGGAACCUAUGCAUAGGGGUUGGCACACGUUCUUGACUCUCCGGUAGAAACUUUGGGGCACUCUUUGAAGUACUUUGUGUUGGUUGGAUGAAUCUGAGAUUGUGUGAUGCAUAUCCUAUAAUCAUGCCCACGGAUACUUGAGGUGACAAUGGAGUAUCUAGGUGACAUUAGGGUUUUGGUUGAUUUGUAUCUUAAGGUGUUAUUCUAGUACGAACUCUUUUAUAGAUCGAUCUGAAAGAAUAACUUUGAGGUGGUUUCGUACCCUACCAUAAUCUAUAUGUUUGUUCUCCGCUAUUAGUGGCUUUGGAGUGACUCUUUGUUGCAUGUUGAGGGCUUGUUAUAUGAUCUAUCUAUGUUAUUAUUGUUGAGAGAACUUGCACUAGUGAAAGUAUGAACCCUAGGCCUUGUUUCGUAUCAUUGCAAUAGCAUUUACGCUCACUUUUAUCGCUUGCUACCUUGCUGUUUUUAUUAUUUCAUAUUACAAAAACCCAUAUCUACUAUCUAUUUUGCACUUGUAUCUCCAUCUCUUUGCCGAACUAGUGCACCUAUACAAUUUACCAUUGUAUUGGGUGUGUUGGGGACACAAGAGACUCUUUGUUAUUUGGUUACAGGGUUGCUUGAGAGAGACCAUCUUCAUCAUACGCCUCCCACGGAUUGAUAAACCUUAGGUCAUCCACUUGAGGGAAAUUUGCUACUGUCCUACAAACCAGUGCACUUGCAGGCCCAACAACGUCUACAAGAAGAAGGUUGUGCAGUAGACAUCACAUACCAAUCUAGAUCAUGAAUCAACCCAAAGACAAAAGAUAUCUACUGAAAACAUCAUAGGAUGACAACACAUCAUUGAAUCAUAAUAUGCGGCAUAAAGCACCAUGUUCAAGUAGGGAUUACAACGGGGUGCGGGAGAGUGGACCGCGUAAAAGAGAUGAGGAUGGUGAUGUUGAUGAAGACGAUCACCACGGCGAUGAUUCCCCUCCCGAUGGCACUCCGGUACCACCAAGAGAGACGAGGAGAGGUUCUCCCCCUUAUGCUUCCUCCUCCAUGGCUUUCCCCCUCUGGUCCUUGGCCUUCAUGGAGAUGAUGGCCCCUUCGAGAUCCUCCUCCAUGGCCUCCGGUGAUGAUGGCCCCCUCCAGCAGGGUGCCAGAGAGGGCCUAGAUUGAUUUCUCGUGGCUACAGAGGCUUGCGACAGCGGAACUUCCGAUCCCAAUUAAUUCCCGAAGGUUUCUCUAUUUAUAGGAAUUUUUGGCAUUGGUUUCACGUAGGGGGGUCUCCGGGCUGUCCACGAGAUAGGGGGGCGCGCCCUGGGGGGGCCCACUCUCGUGGGCAGCCCGGGACUCUUCUGGCCCAACUCCGAUGCUCCGUGGUCUUCUUUUGGUCCAUAAAAAAUCCUCAAAAAUUGGCACGUCAAUUGGACUCCGUUUAGUAUUCCUUUUCUGUAAAACUCAAAAACAAGGAGAAAACAGGAACUGGCACUGGGCUCUAAGUUAAUAGGUUAGUCCCAAAAAUCAUAUAAAAUGGCAUAUAAAUGAAUAUAAAACAUCAUAGAUGGAUAAUAUAAUAGCAUGAAUACUUCAUAAAUUAUAGAUGCGUUGGAGACGUAUCAGGCUCCUCACAAGUCCCUCACACCUACACAAACAAACAAGAACCUCGCAACCAACGCGAUAAAGGGGUUGUCAAUCCCUUCACGGUAACUUGCAAAAGUGAGAUCUGAUAGAGAUAAUAAGAUAAGAUAAAUAUUUUUGGUAUUUUUAUGAUAUAGAUUGGAAAGUAAAGAUUGCAAAAUAAAGUAAAUUGGAAAGUUAUAUGAUAAAAGAUAGACCUGGGGGCCAUAGGUUUCACUAGUGGCUUCUCUCAAGAUAGCAUAAGUAUUAUGGUGGGUGAACAAAUUACUGUCGAGCAAUUGAUAGAAAAGUGCAUAGUUAUGAGAUUAUCUAGGCAUGAUCAUGUAUAUAGGCAUCACGUCCGCGACAAGUAUAUCGAAACGAUUCUGCAUCUACUACUAUUACUCCACACAUCGACCGCUAUCCAGCAUGCAUCUAGAGUAUUAAGUUCAUAAGAACAGAGUAACGCAUUAGGCAAGAUGACAUGAUGUAGAUGGAUAAACUCAAACAAUAUGACAUAAACCCCAUCUUUUUAUCCUCGAUGGCAACAAUACAACACGUGCCCUGCUGCCCCUACUGUCACUGGGAAAGGACACCGCAAGAUUGAACCCAAAGCUAAGCACUUCUCCCAUUGCAAGAAAGAUCAAUCUAGUAGGCCAAACCAAACUGAUAAUUCGAAGAGACUUGCAAAGAUAACCAAUCACACAUAAAAGAAUUCAGAGGAGAUUCAAAUAUUUCUCAUAGAUAAACUUGAUCAUAAACCCACAAUUCAUCGGAUCUCGACAAACACACCGCAAAAAGAGUUACAUCGAAUAGAUCUCCAAGAAGAUCGAGGAGAACUUUGUAUUGAGAUUCAAAGAGAGAGAAGAAGCCAUCUAGCUAAUAACUAUGGACCCGAAGGUCUAUGGUAAACUACUCACAACUCAUCGGAGAGGCCUUGGAGAUGAUGUAGAGGCCCUCCAUGAUCGAUUCCCCCUCCGACGAAGCACCGACGAAGGCUCCAAGAUGGGAUCUCGUGGAUACAGAAGGUUGCGGCGGUGUAAUUAGGUUUUCGUGGUGCUCUUGGAUGUUCUUGGGGUAUGUGGAUAUAUAUAGGAGGAAGAAGUAGGUCGGUGGAGCCACGAGGGGCCCACGAGGGUGGGGGGCGCGCCCACCCCCCUAGGGCACGCCCUCCUACCUCGUGGCUUCCUCGUCUGCUGCUUGACGUCCACUCCAAGUCUCCUGGGUUGCGUUUGUUCCAAAAAGAUCGCUCCUGAAGGUUUCAUCCCAUUUGGACUCCGUGUGAUAUUCCUUUUCUUCGAAACACAGAAAUAGGCAAAAAAACAGCAAUUCGGGCUGGGCCUCCGGUUAGUAGGUUAGUCCCAAAAAUGAUAUAGAAGUGUAAAGUAAAGCCCAUAAACAUCCAAAACAGGUAAUAUAAUAGCAUGGAGCAAUAAAAAAAUUAUAGAUACGUGGGAGACGUAUCAGUGAGCCGAGGAGGGCACAACCCACCAGGGCACGCCUGGGCUCCCUGGCGCGCCCAAGUGGGUUGUGCUCACCUGGUGGGCCCCCUCUGGUACUUAUUUGCUCCAAUAAUUCUUAUAUAUUCCAUAUAAAUUCUCCGUGAAGUUUCAGCUCAUUUGGAGUUGUGCAGAAUAGGUGGCCUGACGUAGCUUUUUCAGGUCCAGAAUUCCAGCUACUGGUAUUCUCCCUCUUUGUGUGAACCUUGCAUAUUACUAGAUCAUCAAAUGCGCGUGUUGCUGCGCCAAUCUAUUUUGGCACUAUAAAAUUAAUGAUUGAUGCAAUUAUAUGCAAGUGUAGUAUUUUGAUUACAUCAUAUAAAUAUGAAAAUAAAUUCAAGGAUAUUAGUUUUAAUCAUGUGAUAUAAUUAUCACGCACAUGAAUCAUGGUUUUUGACAAGUGUUUUGUCACCUGAAUAUGUUGAUUAAUAUUUUUUUUGUAUGAAUAUGUUAGAUGGUAAGAAGGUUGGUAAGUUUCGAUUUUGUAAAAGAAUGGCAAGGGUUCUAAACCAUGGGAGGGACAGGAAACAAGAGAGGCAAGGCAAAAAAUGUUGGCACUCAAAUACUUUAUGGAUAACUACAACAGCUAUGCAGUAUACAUGAGGAGCGAGCACAAGUAGUAUCGUGAAUAAUUAUGAAGAAUUAAUAUUGCAAAAACUUACAACCAAGAUGUGCUUAAACUUAAAAGGAGCACUUUAAAUUACCAAGUGGGUGGAAGUUUCUCAAUAUAUCGAUGUCUCAGUUUUACAAAAGAAGGCAACUGCAUAUAUUAGAAAUUUGAUUUGUAGCCUACGUGUUGUAUAGUAGAAACAACCAUUGUACGCCAUGAAUUAAAAAAAUGUAUAAUCUUUUUACUGAUGUAUGGUUCAUUUUUUUUAACAAUGUAGGAUUCAUUCCUUGUUAACAUGCAUCAGGUGAACCAAUCUUAUGAAAUAGAAUAUAUACUGGAGAAAUCUAUGCUCCAUAAGUGUUCAAAGGUGAAUCUGACAAAUGCAUAAUCGAGAUAGUUAUUUUGAAGGAUAAAAGGAUGAAGUAUAUGAACAUAGAUAAACUUCGAUAAGAUACCUACAUGGAUGAGCCUUGAAAGGGACUUGCGCAUUACAGAUCGUUCUCCAGAAAGAGGCAAACACGAAGCGACCGACAACCACAACAGGAUGGGAUGGUUUCGUUGUUAGACCCUGCCCACCACAGAGGCACAUAGCUCUCUCUCCCUUAUGGCUGCCAUUAGGUGAUAAUAGGUGUGAGAAACAAAAGACCAUGAUAAGAACUCUUGGAAAAGAACAACAAACAUUUGUUGCUCAUGUUGCCUACUGUAUUCUAACCAAUACGAUUAUUGGUCCUACAUUAAAUGAUCUCGUUGGCAAUAGAAGUUUUAGCAGGAUAAAAAAUAUGAAGCAAGCAAGUGGCCAUAAACUGUAACCUUGACAUAAUAAAUAAUAUUUGACAAUGGAAUUUCAUACUUCGAUUUCCCCCAAAGUGAUAUAGUACUCGACAGUUCUAGCUGUGAGCCCUUCCCUGCAGUCUCAUCUCAAGGAAAAAGAACCAACUUUAAGGAUACAUGCAAAUAUAAAGGCGCAAACGAUAUAUAACCAAUUGCUACACAUGAAAAAAAAUACUGGACCAAAAAAACACAAUGAUGUCUAGCUUCAAGAGGUAAAUAACUAUGAUAAUGUUAUUUACAUGCUAUUUUAGUAUUUAUAUCCCAUCUCGCAUCGAGGUGAUCUCAUCGGAUAUGAAGGACUCUUCCUUGAACAACACCGUACAAAAUAUGCAGUUUAGAAUUCAUAUGGAAUAUAAAAAUAAAUAAUUAUGAAUUAGAAAGUGAAAAGUGGAUAUUGCAUUUCUAAUAUCAUGUCGAAAUUUGACUGGUCCAUCAAAUAUACAGUUUUUCACUGAACUAUACUAUUUUGGGACACUUCCCUGAAUAUUACUGGUACAGUACAUCAUUCCUUCUCACUAUGUUUCUAUAGAAAUUUGGAGCUGCCAUUGUACCGGCAUUAUCAUUGCAUCGAUUCCUUUCAAUUCAUUCUUCCUAGAUACCUACUCCCUGCCUAUAUAUCCAUCAGGAAAAAAGAGUAAAUGAUACUGAAAAAUCAACAGUAACAUCAGAGAUAGCAGAUAAGAAGUGAGGGAAGAGAGCCAAUCAAAAAUACAGUUUCAGACUGAACUAUACUGUUUUGAGACACUUCCCUGAAUAUUACUUGUACAGUACAUCAUUCAUUCUCAAUUUGUUUCUGUAGAAAUUUGAAGUUGCCAUUGUACUCAUAUUAUCAUUGCAUCGAUCCUUUUCAAUUCAUUCUUCCUAGAUACCCACUCCCUGCCUAUUGUAAUGUCCAUCUGCACAAACAAAUAAAUUAUACUAAAAAUUCAACAGGAACAUCAGAGAUUGUAGACAACAGUGAGAGAAGAGAGCACAUCGACCAAAGAGAAAAUUACCCGAAAUUGUGAGGUUUUGGGCACACAGGGAACGGUGGCGAGUCAGGCCAAAGCGAAGGUGCACGUGGCAGAUGUGUCGCCUCGCAUCCGGUCAACCGUGUCGCUGCUUGGUUAUCCGCUGACGUCUAGGGUGCAGACCUUCACUCCAUGGUCGCACCAUCGGUCAACACAAAAGGUGAAUGGGGGAGCGCCGCCCAUAAUAUGGAUGUGGGAAAAAUGCCACAACGCCCAUUUGCAUCGGUGCGAAGGAGGAAGGCCAGCCCGAUAGAUGAGGAAGGCGUGGUGGCAGCCUUCACCAUCGUUGUCGACGUCGCCAACGCCUCUGGCGGCAUGGCAAACAGGCAGAGUCUCGGGCAAGUCGCCGCCAGCGGCGCUAGGUUUCUCGAGGGCGAUGGGAAGGAAGGGGAACGAGGCGAACGCCAGCGGAGAGGGCCCUUUGUUGCAACAGGUAGCCUAAUGGGCUGUGGGAAACAGGUCGGACGACCCAAUAAUAGCCCGAUUAACCACAGAGCUCCGAAAAAGUUACGAGAAUAGCUGCCCCUAUGACAUGCAGCCCAUCUCGCGGAGGGAUUAUCGAACGGCCAUAAACGUCCAGCACGUAAAAUCGAACAACCAAGAACGCAGAGUGCGUGAGAGGGCUGGGUUUAGGUUCGGUUUUACUAUUCUUAAUGAGAGAAAAGACAUUAGAAUUACUUCAAAAAGCAUUAUUAUACAUAAAAACAAUAUAAAUAACAGUAGGAAAACAUGAUGCAAAAUGGACGUAUCAGUGCCAUGAUUUCAGAUCUAAACCUAUUAUGUUUUCAUGAAUAUAUAUAUGUGUUCUUGAUCCUAUCUUGCAAGUUGUAGACACCUAUUACGAGUUAUGAUCCGCAUACCCCAAGGUGACAAUAAUUGGGAUUCUUUUUGGUGAUUACCGUAGUUUGAGGAGUUCAUGCAUUCACUAAGUGCUAAUGCUUUGUUCCAGUUCUCUAUUAAAAGGAGGCCUUAAUAUCCUUAGUUUCCAUUAGGACCCCGCUGCCAUGGGAGGGUAGGACAAAAGAUGUCAUGCAAGUUAUUUUCCAUAUGCACGUAUGACUAUAUACGAAAUACAUGCCUACAUUAUAUUGAUGAAUUGGAGCUAGUUCUGUAUCAUCCUAGGUUAUAACUGUUGCAUGAUGAAUGCCAUUCGACAUAAUUAUCCAUCACUGAUCCUUUACAUACGAGAUUUUCACAUAUUGAUCUUUGCUACGUUACUUUGCCGUUGCCACUGUUACAAUUACUACAAAACUGCCACUGUUACUUUUGCUACUGUUACCGUUACUUCCAUACUACUUUGCUACUAAAUUUUUUGCUACAGAUAUUAAGUAUUUCAGGUGUGGUUGAAUUGACAACUCAGCUGCUAAUAGUUGAGAAUAUUCUUUGGCUCCCCUUGUGUCGAAUCAAUAAAUUUGGGUUGAAUACUCUACCCUCGAAAACUAUUGCCAUCCCCUAUACUUGUGGGUUAUCAAGACCUUUUUCUGGCGCCGUUGCCGGGGAGCAUAGCUCUAUUAUCUGAGUCACUUGGGAUUUAUAUCUGUUGAUCACCAUGAGGAAUUUGAAAGAUAAAAAAAUCAAGAUUUAUCUCUCUACUACGAGGGGAGGUAAGGAACUGCCAUCUAGCUCUGCACUUGAUGCACCUUCUGUUUUGAGUAAGCUUGCGACACCACCACCUGCUAGUAAUUCUGAUAUGUUGCAAGUAACUGAUGAUGCUACUUCUGCUAUGCAUGAUGCUUAUGAUGAUACUACUAUUUUGCUUGAUGAUAUUGUGCCACUAGGUGAAUUUCUUGAUGAAUAACUUGCUAGGGUUAGAGAGAAUGAAAUUACUGAAACUGGUGAUAUUAUUGAAACUGAAGAUUAUGAUUCUCCCCCUAGAUAUGAAUUGCCUAAGGUACCUGAGGGUUAUAUUAUGGAUGAAGAAACUGCUAGAGACUUUUCUGCUUGCAAUGAUAAAGAUGAUCUUAAGAAAUUGUUAGCCAAGCUGAAAGAAAAAAUUUUGAAUGCUAGAAUGCAAUAUGACCCUAAGUUUGCCACUUCACCUAUCUUUGUUACUGAUAAGGAUUAUGAAUUCUCUGUCAAUCCUGAGUUAAUUACUUUGGUUGAAUCUGAUCCUUUCCAUGGUUAUGAAUCUGAAACUGUUGUGGCACAUCUUACUAAAUUGAAUGAUAUAGCCACCCUAUUUGCUUGUGAGAUUUUCUUUUGCUAUUACUAUAUUAUUAUGUUGUUUCCUUUCUCAUUAAAGGGUGAUGCUAAGAUAUGGUUUAAUUCUCUUUCUCCUGGUUGUGUGCGUAGUCCCCAGGAUAUGAUAUAUUACUUCUCUGAAAAUUAUUUUCCUGCUCACAAGAAACAAGCUGCUUUACAGGAAAUAUUUAACUUUAUGCAAAUUGAAGAAGAGAGUCUCCCACAAGCUUGGGGGAGGCUUCUCCAAUUACUUAAUGCUUUGCCUGAUAAUCCUCUGAAGAAAAAUGAAAUACUUGAUAACUUGAGAUGUGGUGAAAACUUCGCCGGUGCAUCCAAACCACGUGAUAUCUUACACUCUAUCACACAUACACCUCCUUAUACCUUCCUCAAAACAGCCACCAUACCUACCUAUUAUGGCAUUUCCGUAGCAAUUCCGAGAUAUAUUGCCACGCAACUUCCACUGUUCCGUUUUUAUGGCACACAUCAUCAUUGUCAUAUUGCUUUGCAUGAUCAUAUAGCUGACAUAGUAUUUGUGGCUCAGCCAUCGUUCAUCAUUUUUAUACAUGUUACGCUAGAUCAUUGCACAUCCUGGUACACCGCCAGAGGCAUUCAUAUAGAGUCAUAUUUUUUUCUAGAAUCGAGUUGUAAUUUUGAGUUGUAAGUAAAUAAAAGUGUGAUGAUCAUCAUUAUUCAUUAUUAGAGCAUUGUCCCAAGUGAAGAAAGGACGAUGGAGACUAUGAUUCCCCCACAAGUCGGGAUGAGGAACUGGACGAAAAAAAGAAAAAAAAGAGGCCAACAAAAAAAGGAGAAAAGAAAAAAAGAGAGAAAAAAAUAGAAGGGGCAAUGCUACUAUCAUUUUCACACUUGUUCUUCAAAGUAGCACCAUGUUUUUCAUAUAGAGAGUCUCCUAUGCUUUCAUUUUCAUAUAACUAGUGGGAAUUUUUCAUUAGAGAACUUGGCUUGUAUAUUUCAAUGAUGGGCUUCCUCAAAUGUCCGAAGUCUUCAUGAGCAAGCAAGUUGGAUGCACACCCACUUAGUUUUAUUUUGAGCUUUCAUACACUUAUAGCUCUUAGUGCAUCCAUUGCAUGGCAAUCCCUACUCCUUGCAUUGACAUCAAUUGAUGGGCAUCUCCAUAGCCCGUUUAUUAGUGUCGGUGUCAAAACUGGCGGAUCUCGGGUAGGGGGUUCCAAACUGUGUGUCUAGGCGGAUGGUAACAGGAGACAAGGGACACGAUGUUUUUACCCAGGUUCGGGCCCUCUCGAUGGAGGUAAAACCCUACUCCUGCUUGAUUGAUAUUGAUGAUAUGGGUAGUACAAGAGUGGAUCUACCAUGAGAUCAAUGAGGCUAAACCCUAGAAGCUAGCCUAUGGUAUGAUUGUUGUAAUGGUUGUUCGUCCUAUGGACUAAAACCCUCCAGUUUAUAUAAACACCGGAGAGGGCUAGGGUUACACAGAGUCGGUUACAAUGGUAGGAGAUCUACAUAUCUGUAUUACCAAGCUUGCCUUCCACGCCAAGGAAAGUCCUAUCCGGACACGGGACGAAGUCUUCAAUCUUGUAUCUUCAUAGUCUUGGAGUCCGGCCGAUGAUGAUAGUCCGGCUAUCCGGACACCCCCUAGUCCAGGACUCCCUCAGUAGCCCCUGGACCAGGCUUCAAUGACGACGAGUCCGGCGCGCAUAUUGUCUUCGGCAUUGCAAGGCGGGUUCCUCUUCCGAAUAAUCCAUAGAAGAUUGCGAACACCAGGAUAGUGUCCGGCUCUGCAAAAUAAAUUCGACAUACCACCAUAGAGAGAAUAAUAUGUACACAAGUUCAAUCUGCUGACGUAUUUUGUGGCGUGACGUCACACCACGACCAAGCCUUUACUUGAAUCGUUUUUAUCAUACCACCUUAGCGCGUUUAGCGAAGCGGUUUCCUUGGCACGUCUUGUCGAAGCAGAGAUCGUGUCCCCCUUAUUCCGGGAUUCCCAUCAAUACGGACGUGGGUAACCCAACCGUGCCAUUGAUUGUGGCGCUUGGGAGAUAAGCGAGUUUUACCAGGCCGGUGGGGACGCAUAGUCUUCGUCCGCCCAUAUAUAAGGGGAUAAGGAUCCACCUUUUUUUACCUACGCCUUCUUUCCUCCUUUGCUUAUCCAUCUCCGCGCACUCGAGCUCCAGCGCCCAAGUCCGCACAUCUGCCUCAACCUUCUCCAGCCAUGUCCGGAGCGGGAGGCAAGUGGAUGGCCUCCUCCGUUGCGGAGGGGCACAUCGAGAAGCUGCACGGCGCCGGAUACCUGUCCAGCGACAUCACGCACCGGCUGCCCGACAAGGGGCAGCUCAUCCCCACCCCCAGGCCCCAUGAGAGGGUCGUAUUUCUUCCCCACUUCCUCCAUGGACUGGGCUUCCCUCUUCACCCCUUCGUCCGGGGGCUCAUGUACUACUAUGGCCUGGACUUCCACGAUCUGGCGCCAAACUUCAUCCUCAACAUCUCGGCGUUUAUCGUCGUGUGCGAGGCCUUCCUCUGCAUCCAGCCCCACUUCGGCGUGUGGCUAAAGAUCUUCAAUGUCAAGCCGAAGGUGGUAAAGGGCGUCCAAGCGGAGUGCGGAGGCGCCAUGGUGGGUAAAAUGCCCAAUGUUACUUGGCUUGAGGGUGCCUUCAUGGAAUCCAUCAAAGGGUGGCAAUUGGGGUGGUUCUACAUCACCGAGCCGCAUGACCCUAAAUGGGCAGCGGCCCCCGAGUUCAGAUCGGGUAUCCCCAUGCAGCUCACCUCCUGGAAAGAGAAGGGCUUGCUAUGGGGUAGUUCGGAGGAGUUGACCGGACUCCAGUCCUGUCUCCAGACCCUGGUGAAUAAGAAGCUUAAGCUUGUCAACAUGAUCCAGGUCAUGCUCGUCCGCCGGAUUCUCCCCUGCCGGCACAGCACCGGACCCUGAGCGGGCUCUUCGACACGACGUACGAAGCUGCCUGGAGGGUGUUGUUCAAGGGCGGAGAAGCCCCCGCAUCCGCAACUGAAGAUCACGGAUUCAGCACGCAGCGCCCGGCCGGCGAGGUAAGCUAUGUUAUCCUUUACGGGACACUCAUUUCUUUCAUAGUUUGAUUCUUUGUGGGAUCUAAACUCCCAAUGCCUUUAACAGGACUGGCAGAAGACGUCCGGACAGGUUAACUGUCCGGCUCCCCUUUCAGAAGACCCCGCGGACACCCUUUUGAUGGGGCUGCUGGUCCCGGCACUUUACGUGGUGCCGGAGAAGAAGGCCAAGAAGAAGGCCACGGGAACCCGAAGGAGUUCCCGGCGCCAGGUGGUAUCGGACUCAUCAUCCGACUCCGAGGCGGACUCCUCCCCCGAGGAGGAGGAGAAAGAGGCCUCUCCCCCAGCGGGGGGGGGGAGAAGAAGAGGAAGGCCUCCCCAACGAGGGCGGCCGAAGGGUCCAAGAAAGGACGGACCCUUCCUCCGGACUGCUCCGCCAACACCAACGAUGGCGAUGAGGAGUGGCCCUCAAGGGCCAAGCCCUUGGCAAGAUCGUAAGUGUCCGAAUUCCUGGAUGAUUUAUAAUUUCUUUUUUUGCCACGUGGUGUCUUUCUAAUGCCGCAUACAACCUGUAGUCCGGCCAAGGACGAUCUUCCCGCUUCGUCAAGCGGGUCCUUGGCUACGUCGGAUAUGGAUUCCCUUCCGAUCGCCUCCACCCCUCGUGAUGCUGACGACGCUGAGGUGGGAUCCCAGGAGGGGACCCACCAAGAGGGGGAGGCUCCGGAGGUGCCACAGGGCAACCUCCCGGAGUUUGCACCGGACUCCGCACCGGAACCUGCAGUGGUUCCGGAGUCCGGCAGGUGGCCCCUUGUAAGAAGGGCAAGACUGUGACACCGGCGGCCUCCGUCCAACCGGAGGCGCCGGAUAACUUGUUGGAGGCACUCAACGGCGCUUCCAUCGAGGAAGAACACUGCACUAUCAUGAGUGCGGUGAUUCAGAAGGUUUAGCUCGCCAAGAGCGGGCUGACCGAAGCCUGCAGCAGCCUUCUAACAGGCUUUGAGGUAAGAAAUUUAAAAUAUGUAAUAUAAUACCACAUAGACAGUAGCCCCUGAUGCUCGGUUCGGUGUUCGAAAAGAGAAGCCGGACCGAGGAUCUAAAAAUAUAUACGCGGGAGGUCUAAAAAAAAUGUCAAUAUGGGAUUGCAGGCUGCGCUGCUGACCUCUGCCGCACUGACUGCGGAGGUCGAUGCUUUGAAGCAGAACCUCGAGCGGUCCGAGAGCGAGCUCAGCCGUGCCAAGAAGUAGCUCGAGGACAAGGAAGGUGAGUAACACCGUAUUAAAUUUGUACCUUACAGAAAAGGAUUUUGGUUGCAAGAGAAAUAACAAGGAUAACGUGGGUACUCCAGGGGACACGAACGAGGUGGCGACCCUGAAGGAGGCCAUGUCCGCGGCUGAACGCAAUGCGGCCAUGGAACGAGCCGAGCGAGAGAAGCAGGAGGCGCGGGUGGCGGAGGUGCAGCAAGAGCUCCAGGCUCUCGUGGAAAAAUAUGAGAGUUUGGAGCGCGAGACAAAGACUCGAGAGUCCGAGCUUGCAUCGACUCUUGAGAGUGCCAAAGCCGCUAAGGCAGAAGCCCACAAGGCCCUCUAGGAAAUCGAGGUGGUGAAGAAAAUAGCGGCGGGUAAGGCAUUUUUCAUGCAAAGCAAGCAUGUGAAUGUGAAUUACCUAUUACUUACCCGAAUUCGGAGCUCUCCAGGAACGUUCGCAGAUCUGCCUCGCAGUGUGUCCGAUGCUUCCGCUUUCUACCGAGCCGAGGAGGGGAGCUCGACGGAGAAGGUCUUCUGGUCUCAGUACGCUGAGGCCGGACAUCCGGUGCCCCUUAGCAACAAGCUGAAGCAGCUGGUCGAGCUCCACAAGGUAGCCGAACAGGCCGUGAAGGGCCUCAUAGUUCGGCUGUGGCCCAAGGAGGCCAUGCCUGGGAGCUACUUCGGCCUGGUGCGGUGGCUGGUGGAUGCGUGUCCCUGGGUGGAAGUCGUCAAGCACUCCGCCUGCAUUGAAGGUGCCCGUCGGGCCCUUGCCCGUGCAAAAGUGCACUGGGGCAGGAUGGACGCUGAGAAGCUUCUGACGGACGCGCCGCCAGCGGGCAAAGAGUAUUGCACGCCCGAAAUAUAUUAUAAGAGUGUCUUGAAGGGUGCCUGCAUGAUUGCGGAUGAGUGCUCCAAAGAUGUAAUAUUUGAGUAGACUCGCAUUGUGUUAUCCUGUGCGCUGGAAACUGUGUUCACAUGCGCUAAGCAACGCUUAUUAAUUUAAAAUAUUACCUUCUGUGCGGCCGUUUAUCAAACCUGAGAGAUGGCAAGUCUUUGGUUUCAGCCCCCAUGCCACGAGUGCUGGCGUGUUCGGGAUAAACUUGAGUGCUCUUGUUCCCAUUGUUGGGUCCAUCUAGGGAGGCGCUCAACACAACGAACGAGGCAACCGGACUUAUAAUGCUUGAACACUCUCACUUAGCCAUAGAAUUCUAUAAUUUUAAAUUUUGGCGAAGCCCCUAGUGUUCGGAAGACCGAGUUCGGGGCGCUAUCCAUGCCUAGGCCGGACAAAGCCGGUUCCUCGCUCUAAGCGGCAUAAGUCUUUAGGGACUCGAAAAGACCUCUCGAACAGCGACCGGCUCUCGCCUUAUCAUGACGGCCAGUUUUAGCUUUCUCCACUGAGGCGCUCGCCCAGCUCAACCGGGGCGCAAUCGCAGUGGUUCUCCCAGUGCUACCUUAGCCGAUAAAACGGAACGUAAGGUACCAAAACAUGGGAGCCGGGCAAACCCAACUAUUGACCCAAGACAUGAUUCAGAGCCGAUGCAUAUAAUGCUAUAAGUUCGGGGUGCCACACUUGUGAAAGUGUUCGAACUUAUCACACCAUAAUGCGGGGAACUUAAGCCCCUGGUGUAUUCGACCGUACCAAAGUGUACGGAUGCAACAUGUCAUAAACGAACAUAUAUAAGAAAGAAAUGCAAUUAUAAGCGAAAAGCGAUGCAUUGUUUAUUCAAGGAAUUCUGCGAUGAAUGCAGAACGAUACAAAUAGUGCGGUAAGCAAGGGGUAAGACUAUUAAACAUGUCCCCCUCCAGGGGUAGGCUGCGGAAUGGUGUAUGAAAACAGAUUUAAUGCUCAUAAUGGAGACCACCUGGAUACUCGCCGUAGCCCUUCUUCUCCCCUGGCUGUUGCAUCGUGUGUUCGGCAGGUCUACUGCCGGACAGGGCCUCUGGUGAACGGAGUCCUAUGCGUAAGAAAAAAAGAGUCACACACUUGGGAGCCCAUGGUGCGGUUAAGCCGCAUUCUGGGCAUGUGGUGGCCGUGCCCCUCCCCCUAUGCCCAUGGUAUCUCCAGAGCGUAAUGAUGUACGCAAAGGACCAGUCUUGCAAUUUGGGAGGGGCUGGGGUUGGGGCCGCAUUGCUACACGUGCUCGGAACGUGCCAGGUGGUCUUGUUGUAGGUUACUCCGGGCGCGUUUGGUCGUGUCCGGUCGCUUAACGGCCGGACUCGAAAAUUGCCUUAAGAGGCUGCUCUGUACUUCUGCCACGAGAGCCGCUGUGUGUUCCUCCGUUCGGAGGGAGCGUUCAGUGUUUCCAUUGACCGUGAUGACUCCUCGAGGGCCUGGCAUCUUGAGCUUGAGGUAUGCGUAAUGCGGCACCGCGUUGAACUUUGCAAACGCGAUCCGUCCGAGCAGAGCGUGAUAGCCGCUGCAGAACGGGACUAUGUCGAAUAUUAACUCCUCACUUCGGAAGUUAUCCGGGGAUCCGAAGACCACUUCCAGUGUGACUGAGCCUGUACAAUUGGCCUCUACACCUGGUAUGACGCCUUUGAAGGUCGUCUUUGUAGGUUUAAUCCUUGAGGGGUCUAUGCCCAUCUUGCACACUGUAUCCUGAUAAAGCAGGUUCAGGCUGCUGCCGCCGUCCAUCAGGACUCUGGUGAGGUGAAAUCCAUCGACGAUUGGGUCUAAAACCAAUGCGGCAAAUCCGCCAUGGCGAAUACUGGUGGGGUAGUCCCUUCGAUCAAAAGUGAUCGGGCAGGAGGACCAUGGAUUGAACUUCGGGGCGACUGGCUCCAUCGCAUAUACAUCCCUAAGUGCACGCUUCCGCUCCCUCUUGGGUAUGUGGGUUGCGUAUAUCAUGUUUACCGUCCGCACUUGUGGGGGGAAACCCUUCUGUCCUCUAUUGUUUGGCGGCCGGGUCUCUUCCUCGUCAUCGCUAUGCAGCCCUUGUCAUUGUUUUCGACGAUUAACUUGCCUGCCUGCUUGAAUACCCAACAAUCCCUGUUGGUGUGAUUGGCUGGCUUUUCGGGGGUGCCGUGUAUCUGGCACGAGCGGUCGAGUAUUCGGUCCAAAUUGGACGGACCCGGAGUGGUUCUUUUGAAUGGCUUUUUCCGCUGACCGGGUUUGGAGCCUCUGAAUCCGGUGUUGACUGCCGUAUCCUCAGUGUUAUCGCCGUUAAGGCGGCGUUUGUUUUUGUUGCGACGCGACCUGCCAUUGCGGUCCUUGUUAUCCGGACUGCCAGAAUUUUUGCUGAGGUUGUUACUGCGGGCUAGCCAGUUGUCCUCUCCCGCGCAGAAGCGGGUCAUGAGUGAUGUGAGGGCUGCCAUGGAUUUCGGCUUUUCCUGUCCUAGGUGCCGGGCCAGCCACUUGUCGCGGAUGUUAUGUUUGAAGGCUGCGAGGGCCUCUGCAUCCGGACAGUCGACGAUUUGAUUUUUCUUUGUUAAGAACCGUGUCCAGAACUGUCUGGCCGAUUCGUCUGGCUGCUGAAUUAUGUGGCUUAGGUCAUCGGCGUCUGGUGGUCGCACAUAUGUGCCCUGGAAGUUGUCAAGGAAUGCGGCUUCCAGGUCCUCCCAACACCCAAUUGACUCUGCUGGCAAGCUGUUAAGCCAAUGCCGAGCUGGUCCUUUAAGCUUGAGUGGGAGAUAUUUGAUGGCGUGAAGAUCGUCAUCGUGGGCCAUGUGGAUAUGAAGGAGAUAGUCUUUGAUCCAAACCGCGGGGUCUGUUGUGCCAUCGUAGGAUUCAAUGUUCACGGGUUUAAACCCUUCAGGGAUUUGAUGAUCCAUUACUUCAUCUGUGAAGCAUAGUGGGUGUGCGGCGCCUCUAUACUGGGCAAUAUCACGACGUAGCUCAAGCGAGCUUUGUCUACUGUGUUCGGCCCGGCCGGAGUUGCUGUAUCCGGCGCGACGGUAGUCGUCGUGCAUCGUGGGGCGCCCACGUGAUUCGUAGAUCGAUCUUGAUUGUCUUGCCUGGUCCUCCAAUAUGCCUCGCAAGUCCGACGCACUCCCCCGUGGCUUCGUACUUUUCGAGCGGUGCCGGGGUACGGUUCUGGUGGAGGGCCUAGAUGCCUCUCUGUCGCGGCCACGAGGUGGUCGGUCUGCCGUAUUGUGUGCUGGUGUUGAAGGUUUAUAUGCCUCCUCCUCUAAUCGGGGGAGCAACUUGCAUUUUGGGUAGCUUUUGGAGGGGCCUUCAAGUUCAUGUUCUUCGGCCGCGAGGACUUCGGUCCAUCUAUCGGCCAGCACGUCUUGAUCAGCUCGGAGCUGUUGCUGCUUUUUCUUUAGGCUGUUUGCCAUGGCCAUAAGCCUGCAUUUAAAACGCUCUUGUUCGACGGGAUCCUCGGGCACGACGAAUUUGUUGUCGUUGAGGCUUGCCUCGUCUUCGGAGGGAGGCAUGUAAUUAUCAUCCUCUACCUCUUUGUUUGCCGCUCUCUCGUGAGGGCUGGCUUCUCUGUCCUCCUGUGCUGAAUCUUGCUGGAGGGGGUUGUCUUCGGCACUCUCUGGGGUGUUAUUAUCCCCGGUGCCGGAAUCUCCAUUCUUGCUGUGGCGGGAUUUAGAGCGGCGUCGCUGACGCCGGCGCUUGGGCUGUUUCUUGGAGGAAUCUGCCUCCGCUGCUUCUUCGCCAUUCCCAUCCUUUGGGAUGUCCACCAUGUAUAUGUCAUAUGACGAGGUGGUCUUCCAGUGCCCCGUAGGCGCUGGUUCUUGGUCGUCUCCGGCAUCGUCGUCCAUACCGUCGAUGUCUUCGGAGUCGUAGUCUAGCAUGUCAGUUAGAUCGUCGACAGUGGCUACAAAGUGGGUGGUGGGUGGGCUUUGAAUUUCUUCGUCGUCCGCAUCCCAACCAUCCUGACCGCAAUUCGGCCAGGGCUCUCCUGAUAGCGAGAGAUACUUUAGCGAAUUCAGGAUGUCACCAAAAGGUGAGUGUUGAAAUAUGUCCGCGGCGGUGAACUCCAUGAUCGGCGCCCAAUCAGAUUCGAUUGGAGGGGGCGCAGGAGGUUCGGAGUCCGGCGAGGAGUCUGGCACCUCGGAGUCACGAGCGUCGCAAGGGACAAGGUCAGUAUUCGGCUCCAUCACCGUAGAGGUUGUAGCCCCCGAGGCGGUGUCUAGCCACCCGUCCUCGAUCUACGCGGUCGGCUCCGAACUAAGGGUCGGAGCGGACUCAUGUGCGGCCUCCAGGGCACUGUCCGGCAGCAGAGCUAAAUCAUGCCCAUCAUGACAACGCGGCGCGCUCGGCUGUGGCUCGAGUCCGUCGAACAUCAAGUCUCCGCGGAUGUCAGCCGUGAAGUUUAGACUUCCAAAUCUGACCAGACGGCCAGGGGCAUAGCUUUCGAUAUGCUCCAGAUGGCCAAGCGAAUUGGCCCGUAGUGCAAAGCCGCCAAAUAUGAAGAUAUGUCCGGGGAGAAAAGUCUCACCCUGGACUGCGUUGUUGUUGACGAUCGAAGGAGCCAUCAAGCCUAUCAGUGACAACACAGAGGAACUCUCAAUGAAAGCACCAAUGUCGGUGUCAAAAUCGGCGGAUCUCGGGUAGGGGGUCCCGAACUAUGCGUCUAGGCGGAUGGUAACAGGAGACAAGGGACACGAUGUUUUUACCCAGGUUCGGGCCCUCGCGAUGGAGGUAAAACCCUACUCCUGCUUGAUUAAUAUUGAUGAUAUGGGUAGUACAAGAGUGGAUCUACCACGAGAUCAAGGAGGCUAAACCCUAGAAGCUAGCCUAUGGUAUGAUUAUUGUAAUGGUUGUUCGUCCUAUGGACUAAAACCCUCCGGUUUAUAUAGACACCGGAGAGGGCUAGGGUUACACAGAGUCGGUUACAAUGGUAGGAGAUCUACAUAUCCGUAUUGCCAAGCUUGCCUUCCACGCCAAGGAAAGUCCUAUCCGGACACGGGACGAAGUCUUCAAUCUUGUAUCUUCAUAGUCUUGGAGUCCGGCCGAUGAUGAUAGUCCGGCUAUCCAGACACCCCCUAGUCCAGGACUCCCUCAAUUAGCAUCGUCAAUGUGAUACUUUCUUCCUUUUUUUGUCUUCUCCAUAUUAUCUCUAUCACCAUACUCUAUUCCACCCAUAGUGUUGUAUCCAUGGCUUGUGCUCAUGUAUUGCAUGAGGGUUGAAAAAGCUGAAGCGCGUUAAAAAGUAUGAACCAAAUGCUCGGCUUGUCAUUGGGAUUGUGCAUGAUAAAUACUUUGUGUUAAGAAGAUGGAGCAUGAAAAGGCUAUAUGAUUUUGUAGGGAUAACAUUCUUUAGCAUUAAUAUUUUUGAAAGGCAUGAUUGUUUGUUGGUAUGCCUUAUUAUUAUUGUUCUUAUGUCAAAUUAUAGACUAUUGCUUUGAAUCAUUCAGAUCUUAAUAUUCAUAACACAAAAGAGAGAUUACAUGAUGAACAUGUUAGGUAGCAUUCCACAUCAAAAAUUCUGUUUUUAUCAUUUACCUACUCAAGGACGAGUAGGAAUUAAGCUUAGGGAUGCUUGAUACGUCUCCAAUGUAUCUAUAAUUUUUUAUUGUUCCGUGCUAUUAUAGUAUCAAUCUUGCAUGUUUUAUAUGCAAUUAUAUAUCUUUUUAUACUAACCUAUUAACUUAGUGCCAAGUGCCAGUUGGUGUUUUUUGCCUGUUUUUGGUUUUCCAGGAAAUUAGUACCAAACGAAGUCCAAAUGCCACGAAACUUUAUGAAGAUUUUUUUCUGGACAUAAGAGAUACUAGAAGCUUCGGGAGGAGGCCAGAAGGCGAAGGAGGUGGACACGAACCACCAGGGCGUGCCCUGGUGCCUUGUGGGCCCCUUAUUCCUUCAUUUGACCUAAUUCCGAUUAUAAAUUCUCUAAAAUCGAGAAACCAGCAGAGAGCCACCCAAAACACUUUUUUAGCCGCCGCAAGCUUCUGUUCUCGCGAGAUCCCAUCUGGAGGCCUUUUCCGGUACUCUGCCGGAGGGGGAAUUGAUCACUGAGGGCUUCUACAUCAACCUCUUGCUGCCCCUCCGAUGAUGUGUGAGUAUUCCCAUAGCUAGUAGCUAGAUGGCUUCUUCACUCCCUUUGAUCUUUAAUACAAUGUUCUCCUCGAUGUUCUUGGAGAUCUAUUCGAGGUAAUCCUUUUUUACGGUGUGUUUGUUGGGAUUCGAUGAAUUGUGGGUUUAUGAUCAGAUUAUCCAUGAAAAUUAUUUGAGUUUUCUUUGAACUCUUUUAUGCAUGAUUGUUAUAGCUUUGUAUUUCUCUUCGAUCUAUCCGUUUGGUUUGGCCAACUAGAUUGAUUUAUCUUGCAAUGUGAGAGGUGCUUUCUGAUGGGUUCGAUCUUGCGGUGCUCAAUCCCAGUGACAGAAGGGGACAUGGCACAUAUUUGUAUCGUUUCCUUUAAGGAUAAAACAAUGGUGGUUUAUUCAUAUUAAUUGGAUUUACUUUGUCUACAUCAUGUCAUCUUUCUUAAGGCGUUACUCCGUUUUUUAUGAACUUAACACUUUAGAUGCAUGCUGGAUAGGGGCAAUGUGUGGAGUAAUAGUAGUAGAUGCAGGCAGGAGUCGGUCUACUUGUCUUGGACGUGAUGCCUAUAUACAUGACCAUUGCCUUAGAUAUCGUCAUGAUUAUUUGCUUUUCUAUCAAUUGCCCAACAGUAAUUUGUUUACCCACCGUAUGCUAUGUUCAAGAGAGAAGCCUCUAGUGAAAACUAUGGCCCCAAGGUUUAUCUUGAUCAUAUAUUAAAAUCCAACAAUACCUUACUGCAAUUUAUGUACUUUUAUUUUAUUCUGUGUUUUUGUUUACCUAUCUAUCACUACGAUAUUUGAUCCUUGCAAUUAACCGCCAAGAGAUUGACAACCCAUUGUUUGCGUUGGGUGCAAGUAUUUGUUAUUUUGUGUGUAAGUACUGCUAAGGAGGUGUUGCAUGGUUCUCCUACUGGAUUGAUAACCUUGGUUCUUAACUGAGGGAAAUACUUAUCUCUAUUGUACUGCAUCAUCCUCUCCUCUUUGCGGAAAUCCCAACGUAGCUCACAAGCAGCAGGACACAACAUCUUUCACGGCUCCCCGCGAUACGAGGAAGCAUUGCCAAAACAAGGCCGAGGUUAGUAGACCUUACUCCAUAUCGAUCACAAGCCACCACCAAACGGGGAGCAUCUAAUGCCUCAAGGGCGAGAAACUAUCGCUCCCACCGGUAGAUUAGGGACUCAUCGCACACCCAUUGCCGCAAUGUCGGCGGUGGAGGAUGACAACAAGAAGAACCCUAGAUCGCCUCUGGGAUGUCAGCCCCUUCCCCUAUGCGGUCCCAACAUGUUGAACCUAACAUUAUGAUAUUGCACUAUUAUCGACACACCCUUCGCUUACACUGAUCUUAGGGUCUCUUUGGUUUAAAGGGAAAGUGGAGGAAAAUUAUAGGAGAUAUAAAUUUUUCCCAUGAUUGUGUUAUUCAUACCUUUGGUUCAAAGGAAUACGGCAAAAGAAAAAGGGAGGAAAUUUUUCUAUAAUCAUGGUUGAAAGGAAAAACGCAUAAAUUCUAACUUUUACUUGGACCUCCCUUUCAAAUUAUUAUGCAUGAAGAAUGUGACUAAGAUCUUUGGCAACAGAAUAACAUUAGAACUAUGCAUUUUUAUGUGGUUUGAUUUUGAUUUGACCAUGUUUAUUACGAUUCUUUUUUUCUAGUUGCUUCAAACUAAACAUCCAAGUUGACAUAGGUCAUUUGUUUAUGAAACCUCUUUUUUUGUUACUUUUGUACAUGCAUUACUAUCCUAUUCAUGUGUAUUUUCAUGUUCAUGUGCACUAAAGGAAAAGUUUUGUGAUCGAGUAAGCAACAGACGUGCGUGAUAAAUUUCUCUAUAAAAGAACUAUGGAAUGUUAAGGUACAAAUCAUAUUCCCUGCUUUGCCUAUUGCUUAGACAAAUGUUGGCUGGGAAGGAUAUCCUUAUGUCUCGGCUCUGGCUAGUAGUUUAGGUUAAGGCUUUUUCUCACAGGGGCGACAUUUCAACGUAUGGCGAUGUUUCAUUUUUUUAGUUGGUCUUCCGGGCUUCGAUCCUAUCCUCGAGUUCGUCCAUUGGGACGAAGUCGACAGAGCCCCGACGUAGAUGCAUAACGUCUCCUUGGAGCAACGAGGUUAGGGGCUUCCCGUUGUGUGUGCACGCCGAUGAGAUUUGGUGCUAGACGCUUGAGAUCAAUCCAAGGGUUCAAUAGCAGCGACUGCGGCUCUGGGCCAAUGGUCCUCAGGAGCAUGUGCAUGAAGACUUCCUGAUUGUCAUCGAUAAGGUCAAGUCGGGUUCUGACGGUGGCAGCGGUAGUUUGGUGGUGCAGAUCCUUGAUGUAGUUUCAUUUCUUUAUGUACUUCUUAUGAUCCUUUAUAAUAGAACAGACUAGCAUAGCCCAUGCGUUGCAACAUGAGAAAAAGUACACACUCCCCUAACCCAAUAACCAUGAGUCGAGACUCCAAUAGAUCCACAUCAUUUGUUUCAACUCAUGGCAUCACAUAUGUGUUACCACUUAUCCUCCUUCUCACCCUCACCGACGGUAGCCUCAGUGCUCACAGUCACAGAACUACCACACGUUUGAAUGUUGUCAAUCCUAAGGUGUCCAUCUCUCAGCGUAAGAUUAGAAAUUUGUUUUUCUCCUGUGAGAUUCUAGUGAGGAGUGCAUGCGUGGUUAUAAGUGGUCUUUUCGUCUCCAAUCCUGGUUUAUUGAGGCGUUCAUGUCCAAUGUAGAUCGGCGUCGGUGUGAAAGAAAGACGGAUCAUGUGCUAUCGACUAAGGUUGCACCCUAAAUAGCAUUGUUAAAAUGGUUAACAGGUAAAAUAACAUCAUAUUUAGAAUCUACACAUUUUCCUAAUUAAAUUGCAUAUAUAACAUGUUAAAUUUGGUGUUAGGAUUUAAAAGAUAUGGAUUUUUAAAAUAGCAUUUGAUAUGUACUACGGGUUGAUUAACCUAGGGGUUUUCUUGCAAAAGCAAAAAUCUGACUUAAAACUGUCCUGCGAGUUGACUACCAAAAAUAUUCGAGAGUUUUAUGUAAAAGCAAAAAUCUCACAUAAAAUUGAACCGCGGGUUGAUUACCAGAAAUGUUAUUUUUUUUGAAUAAAAUAGUACGAUGGACCAGAAAUACCUAUUUCCUUUAUUAGUAAUGUACUCCCUCAGUUCCUAAAUAUUUGUUUUUUUAGAGAUUUCAACAAAUGACUAUAUAUGGAGCAAAAUGAGUUAAUCUACACUCUAAAACAUGUCUAUAUACAUUCGUAUGUGAUAGUCUAUUUGAAAUCUCUAAAAGACAAAUAUUUAGGAACAGAGGGAGUAUAUGUAUAAUAGAUUUGGAUUCUUUCUCGCAAAAGAAAUCAUUUUUCUUUUCAUUUGUCAUGGUACACAAUAUAAUGAAGCAUGACGAUGAACCACCGCGGAUUUCAUGAACAUGGUUUCAUAUGCAACCCUUACAAAUAGUAAAUUUCAAAAUAAAAUAUUAGAAAAAGGCAAAAAAUAUUAGUUUUUUUCUAAAAUACAUAGUCGACCGGUAUACUAGCAUACAAAGUUUCACGAAAAAAUAACAUCCAUAAAAAUCUGGGCAAAAACAACAAAACUAAAGCUAUAUUAAAAAAAAUACUAUUUGAUGAAUAGUAUGGCCCCAAUUUUAUUUUCUUCACUAAGAAUAACAUGUGUCAAUACUUCACGAAACUUCACGCAUGAAUAGAAUGGCUGACCAAAUUUGAUACCCCAAAAUUUUAGAAUUUCUAGUUCUUUUAUUCUUUUUUGAAUUUAUUAUUCAUGUCUUUUUUAGGGAAUUAAUUAUUCAUGUUGGUGCACAUGGAACCAUGGCGAUGAACUAGAGAAUAACCAAAAAAAUAACUAGAGAAUAACCCUAGAACCGAAGACCGUGGUAAAAAGAAACAUCUGGUGAAUCCAACGACAGGGAAGGUACCACGUCACGUGCAUGCCCACCCGAGCCCACCAUCGAGAAUCAUAUGUGAUGUUCUUCCCUCGUCUUGAUCCCGUGGAGACCCCUUCCUCUCCACACAAGCACUCCACCUCCUCCGCGGCCUACCUACCUAGCCCGUCACUGGCACGCCGCCCCCACCACAGAUCCCGGCUACCAUGGACCAGGACCCCAAGGAGCGGCUCCUCCUCCCUCCCCGCGCCGCCUCGAACGGGCCCCACCGCCGCGGCAAGCCCGCGGCGCCAGGCGGCGGCGGAGGAGGGGGCGGCGUGACGAUCGACGUCCACGGCCUGAAGAAGCGCGGCGGCGGGCGGCGGUCGUGGGUGCGGGUGGACGCGGCGACGGGCGCGGCCGAGGCGGUGGAGGUCGCCAAGCCGGCGCUCAUGCGGCGGCUCGACCUGCCCGCGCGCGACCUCCGCCUCCUCGACCCGCUCUUCGUCUACCCCUCCGCCAUCCUCGGCCGCGAGCGCGCCGUCGUCUGCAACCUCGAGCGGAUACGGUGCAUCAUCACCGCUGACGAGGCGCUUGUCCUGCGCGACCCCGACGCCGACGGCGGAGCCGCUGCGGAGGAGGCCGUGCGGAGGUAUGUCGACGAGCUGCAGCGCCGUCUCGUGGACCGCGCUGACGACCUGCCCUUCGAGUUCAUCGCUCUGGAGGUCGCGCUCGAAGCCGCCUGCUCCUUCCUAGACGCUCAGGUUCCACACAGCGCUCUACAGACCUUUGGGUUCUACUCCGUAAUUUACUAGAUGGUGUAGAAUAUACUUGUGCUCCUGUCUCAACUAAUGGAGUAGUAAUCUAUUAGCCAGCGUACAGUUUUGGUGCAUGAUGAGCUUGAUAGUUCCGGUCCUUCGGGAGCAUGUGAUGAUUGAAUUAAUGAUGGUUCUCAAUUGUUAAUUUGAAUUCUUACAUUGGGCUAGUAUUCCAUAUAGAGUGUGUCAUUGCUUACACCGUGUGAUUGGUUGAACAGUCAUAUCCUAGUAUGAUGUACUUAACAUCCACAGUUCCACACUGUACUCUGAAAAGAAUAGAUUUCCUAUUGAUCGUAUUCUAUUACUGACAGGAAGGUAUCUGAUGGUGAAAUAAGCUAUGGAGUAGAUUAUCCACCACAUAGGAAGUUCAGUUUGCCACAUAUCCCAGCCUCUUAUCUUAAUGACAAGUUGACAACUCUAUUACGAAUGUAGCAUCGUUCUGUGUCAACCAUUGUUGGUCUGAAUUUCUUUUACUCUGUUUGGUUUCCAGAAAAUUGAAUUGACCAUAAGUCCAUAACCACCAAUUAUCGAUGAAAAUGAAGCCACACAUUACAAAUUUGGGUAUCAGCUGACAAAUCAUGUGAUGAUCAAUUUAAGUUUCCCACUUUCUGAGCUGUUUCAAGGAUAAUGAUUUGGCAUCUGAUUGGAGAACUAAAAAUGCUUGCAAAUUUUAUCAGGCUGUCGAGCUGGAGGCUGAAGCUUAUCCACUGCUAGAUGAGUUAACGGCCAAAAUCAGCACCCUUGACUUGGAGCGUGCUCGACGCCUAAAGAGCAAGCUGGUUGCAUUGACUAGGAGGGUCCAAAAGGUAAAUGGACUUCCAUUAUGUUUUUACUGCUCUUAUUAGUUAGGUUGUCAACAGUAUCCAUUUCCAGUCUUAAGAAAUGUCCAAUUUUCGCCAUUAAGGUCAGAGAUGAGAUAGAGCAAUUGAUGGACGACGAUGGUGAUAUGGCUGAAAUGUACCUCACGGAAAAGAAGAUGAGGAUGGAAGCAUCAUCAUUGGACGAGGAGGGCCUUCAAGGAAUUGCUGGAAAUAAUGUCUUUGGUGCAUCCGUCUCUGCUCCAGUUUCACCAGUUUCGUCGCCCCCUGCGCCCCGGCGGCUUGAGAAGCAAUUUAGUUUUGCUAGAAGCAGGCACAGCAGCUUCAAGAGCUCAGAGAGCAGUCAAUAUAACAUAGAAGAGCUGGAAAUGUUGCUGGAGGCUUACUUUGUGGUUAUUGACUACACUCUCAGCAAAUUAACUUCGGUACAAAGCAUGAACUGUCUUUUAGUUAGUCUCUUGUUCAGUUUGAUUUCUCUUUUAAGAAAUACAUUGGCUGACAAGUUUGCUAUUUACAUUCCUUUUUUCCAGCUGAAGGAGUAUAUUGAUGACACAGAGGAUUUCAUCAAUAUCCAGCUGGUAUAUUCCCCUGAUUUCAUACUUUAUCUUUUGUCAUGCCUGUUGCUCAACGUUCAGAUAAAGAAUCACAUUCAAAAAAGUUGUUUCUCAUUCAAAUCAGCAAGUUUCACUUUGCCUGGUUCUACACGAAAGCGGGAAAAUGAUAUGCUGGUUACCAUGUGUUAUUACGAGAUUGAUAUGCAGUUUCUCAGUGACACAUUUCUGGAUAGUUAAUACUGUUUAUCUUGUAAUUAAAACACACAAAGAGAUUCAGUUUGACAGACAUAAUAGUUGUUGUCCCCCACUCAAAUGAAAUGAUAAGUUAACUUAGAAAUAAACAUUAGUAAGCAAGGUUGAAUAACUUGUAUUUUACUGUUUGUGGGAACAUCAGGAUGAUACAGGCAAGAUAGUAAGUACUCCCUCCGUCCUAAAAUUCUUGUCCUAGAUUUGUCUAAAUACGGAUGUAUCAAGUCACGUUUUAGUAUUAGGUACAUCCGUAUCUAGACAAAUCUAAGACAAGAAUUUUGGGACGGAGGGAGUACUAAAUGUAAACCAUAAAUGGUUGACAAGUAACACAAGUUAAUACACUAAUUAUAGCCUGGUACUAGAAAAUACUUGCUGUGGCUUUAUUUAUUUAUUUAUCAUAUAUUAGACUUAUAUGUUUAGACAUUUUUUUCUUUGACCACUCUUUUGUUCCGGAAUUAGGACAAGCAGUAGCUGAUCUGAUAUACUCCCUCUGUUCCGAAAUACAUGUCGCUGGAGCAGCUCAAGUUCAGCUAAUCCAGCGACAUGUAUUUCGGUACAGAGGGAGUAGUCACUACUCACUGAUAACCUGGUGUGAUGAGAUACCAGUUUCGUAAGAACAUUGAUGAGAUGCUAGUUUCUUAAGAACACUGAUGAGAUUCUAGUUUCUUAAGUGCACUGAUGACUUGAUGAGAUACUAGUUUUUUAAGAAGAUUGACGAGAUACUCCCUCCGUAAAGAAAUAUAAGAGCGUUUAGAUCACUAUUUUGGUGAUCUAAACACUCUUAUAUUUGUUUACAGAGGGAGUACUAGUUUCAGUUGACCAGUCAUUUGAUGCUGGGAGUAACCUUUGGACAAAACAACUUUGUUUCAUGAAGGGGAUAAAAGGAUAGAAUAAAGGGAAAGGGCUAUCUUAGUUGACAGUUAUAACAAAUGUGGAACCAAUGAAAAACUUUCUUUCGGAGCAAGUUGAUAUGUGGUUGUCAUGUUACAAUGGCUGGUGAUGGCUGAUGGUUGACACAUUACAUACAUAAUGCCUGUCAUAUUUUUCUCUGUGGUAGAUGCGUUCAUGGUUUAAGACUAUCUCUUUUUUUUUAAAGACGUUUAAGACUAUCUUGGAUACCAGGAACAACAAACUGUAGUUAGGUUCAGUAAUAAAACUAGAGAAUAGGGUGUUCUUUCAUGUGUUUGAUUGCCAUUUUUUAUGAUCUUGACUGAAAAAAUGCUUUGAUGAUGAUCAUCACGAAUGCUGUUAUCGCAGGAUAAUGUCCGGAACCAACUGAUCCAGUUCGAGCUGCUGCUGACCACCGCUACGUUUGUGGUAGCCAUCUUUGGGGUUGUCUCUGGGGUAUUUGGCAUGAACUUUGAGGGGGUCGCCGUGCUUAAGGUGCCUCACGCUUUCGAGUGGACGCUCAUCAUAACAUGUGUUUGUGGCGCGGUCAUAUUCGCCUGCCUCCUGUGGUACUUUAAGAAGAGAAGGUUCUUCCCCUUGUAAAAUGUAUUCUUGCAACCACAGCAUAGUCAUAGCCACACCUGGCUCCUCUCUCGACCCUUCUCUACAGUAAAAGGCGGCCAGAGGAGUCCUGGUUUUCCGGCACUGGAUCUGGCGAUUUCUCCCCGUCGAGGGCCUUGUGCUCGUCGGCGGGUGAGAAACCGUCGGAUCCAGCGGCGCGGAGCUGUAUAGCAGUAGGUUUAGGGCCUUGCUGUUUUGUUUUUCGGCCGUCCGUCGCUCGCCUUCGUUGGUGUGCUCGACGGCGGAGUUUGAAUAAGUUCUCCUCCAGAUCCCUUCAGACGCGGAGCUGUCCUUCGUCGGCCAUGGAUCUGGGAGGAUGGUGUGCCAUGCAGGGUUGGCGUGCCGGCGGCGACGACCCUGCCGAGGCUUUUGUUUCCUUGGCUAGCCGCGUCACGGCGGCGUCUCCUCCAGCGCCGACGGGAAGCCGAGGAUGGCUGUACAGGAGUUCGAUGGCCUCCGCGGGUCGUCUUCUUCGAUGGCGACAGCGGUGGCCAUCUCAGGUACGCGGGUGUUUCGGAGCAGGGAUUGUGGUUAGCGGGAGGCGGAUCCGGCCUUCUCCUUCGACCCUGUUGUUCGAAGUUGGCGGAUUUGCGAUCCGGCGAGCAUGGGGUUGGUCCCGGCCGACGUGCCACAAUGCUCUCGAACCCGCCGUUCGCGGUGGGUCGCUCAUUCGGCUCACAAAGCUUUUCAUGCGAUGGUGCUUCGUCGGAUCACGGCGUGUUGGGCGUUCGUCUUCCUCUCCCUCGACGGUGCUUCGGCGGCGGCGACGGGCGAUGCAGGGCGUCGACGACGAGUUGUGCAGGGACCCCCAAGGGCCUGAUUGUAAUCUUGUUUCUUUUUCUGGGGUGUUUUCUGCUUAUGUUCUGGACACCUGUGUGUUCUGGGUCCUUCGUCUGGGUGCUACUACAUGUGUUGUACUCCUGUUUGCUAUAUGAAUGGCAUGUGGUGCUUCAAAAAAAAAAUGUAUUCUUGCAACCUUCUGCCGCAUGUUGCAGAAAGCAGCAUUCGGCAGUUCAUCAUUUUUCCAGCUUCGCUGGCGUGCAAUUGUACAUACUUUUUCUCCUUUGUUCCAGUGAAGAUACACAAUGUUGGGGCUGCAUUGGCUGUAGCGUGUGCAUCUGAUACGAUUUUGAAGCUUCCUGUCUCAGUGGGUUAGCUUCACACGUCUGGACCGUCUGAUAAGCAUGGGCAUCUCCAAGAUGUUUGAAAAAUAGUAAAACUGAUCUAACAUCAUCCCACAUUUGUGCGUGACACGUCUGGUUUUGUUCACGGACACCCUUCGUCUUUCCUCAAACUUUGUGUCCUCCAAUUGCAUUCUCGUCCCUUCAAAAUUCAACCAUCAUACUAUGAAGGCAUCAUAGAUACUCCCUCCAUUCCAAAAUAGAUGAUUCAAUUUUGUACUAGCAUUAGUAUAAAGUUAGUAUAAAGUUGGGUCAUCUAUUUUGGAACGGAGGGAGUAUAUAGUAAUUUCAAGUCCCCCCUAGAUAUUUAUUCCAUUAUUAUAUUGAUGCUUCCUUUGAAGAGACUUCCUCGGAGGCAUCUGAUUCGUCUUGCUCGAUGGUGUUGGUCAUGGCCGCCUGGCUCAGACGACGAGCACCUCCUCCUUUGCUAGGUGGGUGAUAUCUGGUUUUAAAUAAGAGGGCUGCAGCGGGAAUUGAAGAGGUCCAACAAGGAUAGGAAAGGGCACACCAUGGGGUGGAAUUCUUUUUCUGUUGAGUCCAUGUGUCAUGGCUGAGAUAAGACUCGUCCGCGCAGCCUGUUUCUCCGCACAUAUGGAUUGGUUGGACGAGUACAGAUUGUCCGGACAUUUGUAUUGGGUAUGGGAGAGCUGGGCGAUCGUUUUGGUGUGUGGGCAUGUUGGGACUGUCCGCCCGACAUACACGUGGAAGAAGCCUUUGAAGAUGCUGUUAGGUGUGCACUGCUCCUUCGGAAGAGAAAAAGGUGCAAGUGGUAGUAUUAACCGACCUGUCUUGUUCUAUCAAGAAAGUACUCGCCGAACGAUCAGCAAUUCAGCGUUGCGUCUUCUUCUUCGGCGGUACAUGCUACUGCCUGUGAGCUAGGUGGAUGGUGACAGUAGCUACCGUUAGUUAGCAGCACAUGACAUGACAUGUAAUGUACAUCCAGCAAAUGCAAGAACGAAAUGCACGCCACAUUUUCAAUCGAGUCGCUCGGGACCAAGCUUCCGGUGGUGCUACCGCUGUUGCUGUUGGCAGUGACGAGGACAAGUACGACGGUGUCAUCGUCUGUUCUACAAACGCCCUCCUUUUCUGUUUUAUGAAGUCGCGUCAUUGGGGCGGAUCGCAUGGCCUAAUCAUUGUACACUCUCUAAAAAUACUGAUCGCGUGUUGUUCAGGCCGGUGGUCAGAACGCGCUGGUUCCCAAUCUCCUGAUAGCGAAUAAGUAACGUGGUUAGUCAAUGUAUGAUUGAUUUGUGUCUACAUUUCAUGUUUUUUUUUUGUUGUAAGGAUUUUAGUUUUGAUGGAAGCUUGAGAAUGUGACUCCAACUCGCUUGGUUGCCUGCCAAACAUGGCUUCGCCAGGCUUUUUGCCACACCCUAUCGUAUUUUUGACUAGCUAGUCAUAACAAGUUUAGGUUCUUUUUGGGUAUAAGUGGCCCAUGCUAUUUAAAAAAAAACAUUAGCUAAAUUUUUGUCAAGCCUGGAGAUAAAAGAAAUAUGAAAGCCAACAAGUUAAGCAGUGAACUAACUCUUCCCUAUUGAAUUUUGCUUGCCAAUAGGCACUUGAAAGUUUCAUCUCACCGUACCUCAUGUACAAAUGGACCAGAAGAUAGAAAACAUAUAUUAUUUCAACAUCAGAUGGUGAAGGAUGUUUGGAGAGGGUUGGGUUUGGACGAUGUAAAAAACCUUGUGAGAUGGACCGUGUUGGUGAAGUUGUUCUUGAGUUUUUACUCCAUUUGCCUGAUAGGGGUUUAUCUAUUUUGGGUCUUAAAAAUGUUCGUGAGAUGAUCGCCAUUACCACUUGGUAUUUGUGCCGGGAAAGGUGUAAGCUCGUUCAUGGUGAGAGGACACAAGAUAUUAAUCAAGUUGCUUUGGAGCUUCAUGCUUUGGCGGCUAACUAUGUGGUUGCUUCUUCCCCUAAUGUCACCAUGAAGAGGAGGUUGGACUUGGCCCCGGUGGAGUUUGUUAAACUUAAUGUUGAUGCCUCUUUCGAUUAAGACCUGCUUAGCGGCUCGGCUGGUGCAAAUUUGAGAGAUGCUAGCAGAAAGUUUAUCUGGGUGGGGGUUNNNNNNNNNNNNNNNNNNNNNNNNNNNNNNNNNNNNNNNNNNNNNNNNNNNNNNNNNNNNNNNNNNNNNNNNNNNNNNNNNNNNNNNNNNNNNNNNNNNNNNNNNNNNNNNNNNNNNNNNNNNNNNNNNNNNNNNNNNNNNNNNNNNNNNNNNNNNNNNNNNNNNNNNNNNNNNNNNNNNNNNNNNNNNNNNNNNNNNNNNNNNNNNNNNNNNNNNNNNNNNNNNNNNNNNNNNNNNNNNNNNNNNNNNNNNNNNNNNNNNNNNNNNNNNNNNNNNNNNNNNNNNACUGAGAUUUAGCCCGUAUCGGCUGGAUGCAAUCGCUUUGUCAUUAAUUUUGAUAAUCUCUAGGUCAUCAUCACCAUGAAGAAUGGCCCUCGAUUAGCAGGAGCAAGGCACGUCAGUUUUUGAUGAUUGUUAUGACAUUCCUUGUGAUUUCCCUCAAAGUAGUUUCGUACAUUAUAAUAAGGAAGCAAAUAAGUUUUACUCAUGAUCUUGGUAUGUUGGCCAGAUUUAAUGCUACCAGUGCUUAGUUCAAGGAACCUAUGAGCCAAACUAUACCUUUCCUUAUGGAUGAUGUAACUGUUAUUUGAAUUUAAUAAAGUGAUUUUGUUUCAAGAAAAACUAAGAUGUGUCUACAACUGAAGGGCUACACAUGAUUUUUGUUGAGUUGGAGAAGAACAAGAAAGACAAAGCAAACACACAUUAAAAAAAGAUAAAAAUUUGAUUGAACUGAAAAAACCCAGAUAAUUGUCCAAUAGCAAAACCAAACACGAUUUGGGAAGAAAGAACAUCACAAUUAGGAAUAUCUAGCAAUCAAUGAUUUUACCGAAUAAUGCACAUAAUAAUUAUCAUAACCAAAAUUCUUGACUAGUUAGGCUAGAGGGAUGGGUAAAACGCGAAAUAAUUUUAGUUUAUGUAUUGUAGUUUUUUUUAGAAAGGAGAAUGACCCCCGGCCUCUGCAUCUGGGCGAUGCAUACGGCCACUUUAUUAAUUAUUCUCACAAGACCUUAUAAAGUCAUACAACAGCAAGACUAAAGCCACCGUCUAAGCAACAACUGUCGCUACACCUAUCCAAUCGAUGAAGGGGCGCUAAUAGUCUAGGCCUAAUACCAAACAGACAUCACAGCCAAACCUAAACACCUAAGACCUGGGGUCCCAACCAGGACGCCUGCCGGGUAUGGAGCACCUACCAGUCCGGCGCACUCCUCAACCAGGACGCCUGCCGGGUAUGAGGCCGCCGCAGCCACCUGGCACCAAUCCAUCUUCAGAGCUGUACUGUUGCAUCUACCUUGCACGGUCUAGCUACCGUCGACGCCACCAUGACGCCAGACAGCUUCCUCCUCCUGCGCGAGUCCACCUCCGCGCAUCAGACACGGGGACUCGACUGCGCCAUGCCGCCGAGACCCACCGUCGAUGAUACUGUUGAUGCCACACCGCUCCACCUACAUGCCGUCUCGCGUUGACUCCGAACUACUAGCAACUCCACCACCCUGAGCAGUCCUCGGCCGACGCCUUCAGGAAGGAACACGACACCAAAGUGCCAUCGUUGCCCAAACAGAGGAACAGAGGCUUUCGUCUGCGCUCAUGGCAGAGGUGGGGGGCGUAUGAUCCACACCGAAGCCUACAAGAAGGUAAUCGGCGCCGAGGGCGUCGACUUUGGUGCGGCCGCCACGUCGGCCUGGAGUUUCCCCCGGAUCCAUGCCCACCCGCCAGAUCCGUCUAGGCAGUAUUGGCAUCGACCGUACUCGCUACCGUAUCCAGCACGAACCGAAGUAGAUCGAGUCGGAGACGACACCUCCCAUGAAACUCCGGGCGGCCAUCGAGGAGCCGCCGUAGUGCCGCCGCGUCCACGCCGCCCACGCAACCGUGUAGGGCCCCCCAUCCGCGCCCGCGGGUGCCGCCCGCCAGGCAUGCUGCACCGCGCGCCACUGAUCGAGGCUGCCGCCCCGAGAUCCCCGAGUCGCCCGAGGUGCCGGCGGUCAGAUCUGAAGCAGAUCGACCAAGACCACCAUAGGUGCGCCCCGAACGGCCCUCCACGCGACCACCGGGGGAAGCAUCUCCUGCCGUCGCCCCCUGAGCCCUCGCAGGCACGCCCCGUCGCCAAUGCGCCGCCAACUGCCGCCGAACACCACCCGCGCCAGGUCCGGCCACUGCGGGGAGGAGAGAUCCCGCAGCCGCCGAUGCCAACCGGGCUUUGCCCGGCGGCGCGCCCCGGCGGCGGCGGGCAGGAGAGGUGGGAGAGAGGGCCGAGGGCUUGGCGGCGCUAGGGUUCCCCCUGGUCGCCGCGCGGGGCCGGGGAGGAGAGGAGCUAACUAACAAUAUCUCCCUUUAAUGAGAGAGAUUUUCCUUAUGUAUUGUAGGUGAUGACAAGUUUGACAUAAAUAAAGUGAAAACAUUUGCUUAUAAGUCACGAGUAGGUCUAGGAAACACAUCUUCUAUUUCUUAUUCAUAGCAGGGAAAACGGGGGGAGUGAUAGGAUGCAAAUCUAGUUAUAGAACCAGACAUUUGCAUUAGUUGAGCUUGUGCCUAUAGGCAACAAAAACUGAAUCUCAAAUCCAAACAGACAAUGUGUUUAUGUCUGUGUGUCAUGUUCGGUGAAGUUUAAGCCUAGCGCACACCCAAAGUGCAUAGUUUUUUAUGCCCAUUUUGCAUGUUUUAUGACUCCAAAUAGGGUGUGGAUCGCGGACUGUUCGGAAAAGCAGGUUUGACCGAAUUUUAGGCCCAUAUUGCAAGCGGGCGCAAGAAUUGGCGGGCACACAUCUGUUCUUUACCCAUUUCUUAUUAAGGGUUUUGGAGAAUGAUUAAUGAAUGAUAGACUUAUCUCGGUGGGUGAGAUAGCAGUCAUAAAAAUGAUGGAUCAACAUGUGAAGCAAAAAUAUUACAAAUCAAAAAGCGAUGACUUCCCUCACAGUGUUACUAAUUAGGCCUUAUGGAACAAGCAAAAUGCACGAGUCUUCUAAAACAAGUCCAUCGUCAUCACCUACCUUUUUGACCAACAUCAAGAGCGAGGCCAAGUUUUAGGCAACCGCGGGUUCCAGUCACUUGAGAAACAUCAUUGCCAGGGGAUUAGUUCAACUUGUAUAUUUCGUCCUUUUCUUUUUGUAAACCUCUGCCACCAUUCUUCUUAAUUAUUGGAUGAGGGAAAUCUUUUGGCCUCGAAAAAAAUGGUAUACCCACACCUUUCGUUCACGCCAUGCGCAUUUGGACAAGCAUGACAUACAAUUUUCAUAUUCUUUGUUGGCUGUAAAUGCUAAGUGUAUCAUGCAAUACUCAAGCACAUUUUUAGCUUCAUUUUGCCAAACUAAAGAAAAGCACGAACUAGCCAAGCAACAAAAGAUCAUCAAUAAUAAAUGUCCCAUGGCUUCUCACAAAUGUUCAUACUUGUUUAUGAAAAAAAAUGUAAGGGUGGGUUUCUAUCCAAUACCCAUGUGCGUGUUUUCUUUUCCUCAAUUCUAUAAAACUUAUAAAUACAAUUUUGACUAAGUUUUAAGAGAAUAUUCUGGUUAGGGAUACCUAGCAUCCAACAAAUUUAUCCCUCCCGCGCAAAAAAACAAUUUUAUCUAAUAAUGCGCAUAGUCACACCCUCACAAAUUUACAGAAGAGGAAAACAUGCCGCAAUCCAGAUUCUGCUGAUCUGGGUAUUAUUUGUCUGAGAUUGCACCAAGUAGUGUAGGUUUUUUUUAAUGAAAGGUAGAAGCAGCACAAGCUGAACCUCAAGUCCAAACAACAUAUCCGGUGAAGCCUCAAUCUAGCAGCACGAUCUCUUUGAUUUGCAGAAUUCCAAAAGAAUAUAUGAAUACAAAAGUAAUACUUCCUUCAAUCGGAAGAAAAUGUCCCAGUUGUGAACUAAGGUUAAUGUCAUGCCCAUUCAAAUCCUACAUAAUUUUGGUUCGUUUGCUUACAUAUUGAAAAACACAAAGUAUUCUUUUCGAAGAGGCUUGAGUGGAUGCUUCCAUCAUACCAAGCAAAUGACCAACAUAGAAAAAUUUCCUAAAAUUUAUAUUUCUAAAUUCUUAUGAGCAUCCUUUGGAACAAAUAGGCCCUAACAAUGAUCGAAGGCAAAAAGAAAGAAAGAAAGAAAGAUUGAAGGCAAAGAAGGACGACCGCGAAGCAACCUCCACACGAAAACAUGGAAUCAUCUGUCACGUUGGACGAGAGAGCAUUGAGAGGCAUCUCUCGAAGCAAGGGGACAGAUCACAGUGAACUUCGAGCUGCCACCACCAACUCCAAGGCCAAAAACGGCGCACACGCAAAGCAGCUGUACCGGGACCAAAACACCUCGCUAAUCCAAAAUCUACUGCUAAACACCAGGCAAAGGCACCUACCAGUACCACCCACCAAUACCAGCGGCAGUAAAUUUCGAGCUGCUGCUGCUACUGCUGCCUGCUCGGGACACCUCACUCCAUCUCCGCCUCCGCCUCCGCCUCUGCCCCCGCCCCCGCUCCGCCCCCGCCACCGCCACCCCCAGCGCUCCUAGGGUCCCCUCUUGGCUGCUCGCGCGCCGCGUCGCCGUUGCCGGGGUUCGGAGGAGGGGCGUGCUGCUCGGGGGGAACCCAAAUCGGGCCUCGCGGGAGCUGUUCCCUCGCCCCGCCGCCGAUGCCUGCGAGGUUUCGCGGCUGAGCUUUCGUUUUUGCCUCCGAGAGCUCGCGGCGGGGAGGUCUGGACGUUUCUGGGGUUUAGAUCGAGGCCUCUGAGCUCGCUCUCCGCAAUGCCGGGGAGGUCGGGCGUCGAUUGCUAGGGUUUUGCUCGUGGAUUUGCCGAGAGAGGGCUGGGGAUCGUUCGGAAUGCGGCGAGUUACCCGAGGUCUGGUGCUCGCUUUCGCGCAAUUUGGUGUUUCCGGACCAGCUGUGCCUCGUCGAUUUGGUUUCCUGCCAAGCCUGUGAAGGGGGCGAGGAGGAGGAGGGGUUUUGGGGAGGUUGGGACAAGUUGGUGAUUUGGUCGCAAUGUCCGGGUCUAGUUCGAGGGGGCGGCUGUCGCCGGCUUCAGGUGGUGGAGACUCUGAGCCGCGGUCUGCGGGGAGCAGGACACGAUCUGUGUCUGCUACACGGGGUCGGAAGGCGUCACCGAGGCCUGGGAGGGAUGUCGCAUCAGCAACAGCGACAGUGGAGGAGAAGAAGCCUGCUGCUGUGCCUACAUUGCUCCCUUCGCUCAGCGUGCCGGCAGGGAUGCGCCGGCAGGAGCUGCUACUGCGCUCAGGGUUCUCUCUUGACGCCUCAUGCUCAUCAGACGCUUCGACAGACUCAUUCUGCAGCCGGGCAUCCACUGGGCGGAUUGGGAGGCCGGUGUUUGGGCCGAGGAAGAAGAAGACCGUCUCCCAGGCUGAUCAUAAGGUCUCUGCCAUGCUGGAAAGGGAGGCUGGAUCUGCUUCUCCAAGUGAUGCUUCUGGUCUGAAGAGGAGGUGUGCUUGGGUUACUGCUAAUACCGGUGCGUCUUUUUUCCAUUGCUUUGCAUUUUCUUGAGCCACUGCUCCUUUGAACAUAUAAACCUGCAAUUGGUCUAGUGCAAUGGUUUCUAGUACUGCAGUAGUAGCUUUGUUGUAGGGAGAGGAGGCAAUCUGCAUCCGAUCUAAAGUUCAGAUGAAAAGGUCCAUUUUAUUGAGUUUAGAAUGCUAUAUUCCAAUGAUGCAAACCGGGGACCAGGAUUCUAUGAUUCAUUUAUGGAUGAAGCAUUUCAGGGGUCUCUGAUCUUUAAGAUUCCAACUGUUGCAGUUGCUAAGAAAAUUUAUGAUUAAGUAGUUAGGAAGCUUGCUAUCCAUGUGCCAGAGCCAUGAGUUGGUUGCGAGAUCUUAUGGGUUUCACCUCUAGCCUACCCCAACUUGUUUGGGACUAAAGGCUUUGUUGUUGUUGUUGUAAGUAGUUAGAAAGCUAUCAUCACAAGGAGGUACAUUGCUAAAGACUGUCAUUCUACCUUAGGCUAGUUAUAGUGGCCAGUAACUUAGACUAGUAACAUAUGCAUGUCACUAGUCUAUGUUACUAUCAUCAUAGUGGAUAGUAACAUAAGUGUAGUGUCAUGCAAGCAUUCAUUUAUUAUGUUGUAGACUCAUUUUGCAUCGGGGUGUGUUAUGUUAUGGUAACAUAUUAUGUUACUACAAACACCUCUCUCCUCAUUAACUCCAUGCCACAUAAGCAUAUAUGUCUUGGGGUGCGUUAUGUUACUACCUAAGUUACUCCCACUAUGGCUAGCCUUAUGAAGUUACUCACUGUAUCAGUAUUCUUGUUUACAUUAAUGUGUUGUGUGGAUCUGAUGUGGUUGUGUGUAAGCAAUUUAAUUUUUGAUUUUGUAUGCAGAAGGUAGGUAUUACUUGAUGUGACUAGGAAAGUGUAGAAUUACGCCCUGCUGAUUUUUGUCAUACAGGAACAGGAACUAACUCUAGAAAACCUUCACACAGUGGUGAUUUAAAUAAGGGUAUUUUAUAUUUCUACUUACUGAAACAACAUAUACACAGAUAUUCUGUAAGAUCAUGCACGAUGAAAGCACAGCUAUAACUUAGAAAUUUGAAACAAUGUCUUGUUGGACUAGCAAUGUUCUUUUGAGAACAUGUAGGACUAGCAACAUUUGUCAUGCUACAUAUAGACCUUAUUGAAGAGAGUAGGUGAAAAUGAGAAUUUGGUAGGUAUCUUCUUAGUGAGUUAAGGACUUAGUGUGUGACUAUCUGUAUGACCUAUUCAAAGAAGUUUGCAAUUGGAUGCCCAUGAGUUUUGUGUAUUGUGGCUAGCAUUCUAUUACAGAGCUGCAUGUGGGCUACCCCUGUUGUUUACCAGUAGUGAUGCACAUAGAGUAGUACAACAAAUUUCACUGACCACAAAUAUGGAUAUAAUCAUUGAGUACCGUCACAAGCAUGUAAACUAAUUUGAAGAACUCACUAGAAUCUUGUGGAUUUCCAAGUUGGAAUGUAAGUUUGAGAAUGAUUUUCACAUACUUGCAUGUUCAUAGGCUUGAUAUUAAAGUAGACAGGAAUGGGUCCUUUUCUCUCAUUCCCUGUUUUGCUCCAGUAAUGCUAUUUUCAUUACUAAGGACCUGGUAAUAUGUAAUCACAACUUUAUUUUUUCACGUGAAUCAUUACAGUGAUAAUGCAAAGCUGCAUAUUGAAACCCAGUCUGGGACUAUUAUAAAUUUUGGGGGCAUGAACAUAUACUUUUGAGCGAAGUGUAUGAUUUUUAUUUUUAGAGUUUUUCACAUUCCUGGAUAUCCUUUCCCCGCUACUUUUUAAUUACCAAUUGCUGCAAUAAGAUGAAGCUGAUUAUACCACUAAUCUAGUGUUUAUUUAGAGAAUUCAUCACACUUAAAAGCUAUUAUCCUCUCUUUUGCCUAUUAGCCAUCAUUCGUUUCAUAUAAUCCAUGGUACAUUUUAUAUCUUCCAAAAUAUUCUUCGUUAGUUCUUAUCUUUAGUGUGGUCAUCACUUGAUUUGAUCAUAUUCACUUACAAGUGCAGAUCCAUGUUAUGUUGCAUUUCAUGAUGAAGAAUGGGGAGUUCCAGUUCAUGACGACAAGUAUGCAACCAUGAACCUUGAAAAAAAAAUACUAGUUUCUUUAUGUAUACAACACUUAAAACAUACUGUUUUAUUUUUCUCCAAAGAAUGUCUUAUUAAAUGCUUAUGUUAAUUACAGGAAGUUGUUUGAGUUACUGGUGCUCUCGGGUUCACUGGCCGAACUUACAUGGCCAACAAUUUUGAACAAGAGAUCUAUAUUCAGGUAGCUCUUUACACUUUUGAUGUACUUGGAUGUUGGCAUUUGGCAACCCUGGUAACAUCUUCAGGUGUGCUUCACAGGGAGGUUUUCAUGGAUUUUGACCCUGCAUCGGUCUCUAAAUUAAGCGAGAGGAAGAUUAUUGCACCUGGAAGUCCUAGCAGCUCCUUGUUAUCUGAACAGAAAUUGCGCGGUGUUAUUGAGAAUGCACGACAAAUACUAAAGGUGCUUGAUUCUUCACUCAUAAUAAGCGGUGUCAUGAUUAUGAAUCUUGAUUCUUGAAACUAAGUGCUGCUUUGGGAUUAGAACAAGUGAAAUAUAUAUAGCUGUAUUUUACUCUCCUUAAGUUUUGGUAGCUCCAUAUGGAAAUGAAACAUUUACCUUUCUUACUGACAUUUUGGACGCAGUUUCUUGCACCCACUUCUACUGAUAAAAAAGCCUCACAUGAUCUUUGCCACAAGAUAUUCUUGAACCGUGUUGUCUUACCUUCACCAUGUGUUUAUCAUUGCAGGUUAUAGAGGAGUUUGGGUCAUUUGAUAAGUACUGCUGGAGCUUUGUGAACCAUAGACCUAUAUUGAGCACAUUCAGGUAUCCCCGUCAGGUUCCUGUCAAGACAUCUAAAGCGGACGCGAUAAGCAAAGAUUUGGUCCGAAGGGGUUUCCGCAGCGUAGGCCCAACAGUCGUGUACACUUUCAUGCAAGUCUCCGGCAUGACCAACGACCACCUCGUCUCCUGCUACCGGUUUGCUGAAUGCGCUGCAGCCGCAACCGGUGCUAAGCCUACUACCGAAUCUGGCAGCGAAGCAAAUUCAGGCGCCAGCAAUCACGCCGCGGAGCAAAAGGCGAACGGGGCCGCUAACGGACUAGCCGUUGACAUCGAGCUGUCCAGAACGAUAGACGAGCUCAGCAUCUCGUAGCGGCGGCUGGGAGGGGGACGCUGGAGCCAUGUAUAAGCGUUGUGUGCAUUUUGUGUAUCGUAGGGUAGCUUUUCUCGGCGUGUUAAGACUGGUUGAACAGCAGCAUGUAAUGAUGUAUAUUCUUUGUGAUGCAAAUGCAUUUGUUUUUCCUGAAUCAGUGGUGGAGCUGGCAUCUCAGGUUGGCCCUCGUACUCUGUUAGUUAGUUUUUCUUUUUACAUCAAAG